CGGCAUCACCGUGUUCGGGUUCACGCUGGACCGGUCGUACCUCCACACCAUAUUCAUGCUCGAGUGGACGCUCUUCUUGUGGCUGCUGGGGAAAACAGUCGGUUUCUCGUGAAGACGAGGGACUGUAUGCACAAGGUUCUGUUCUCUUCCAUGUUUUUCUGCUGUUGUGCCCCAUUUGAUCCUUGUGUGAAAAGAGAAGGAGUAGGGUUUUUUGUGUGCGCGCGCGGGUGGCACGUGAGUGGUGUGCACUUGUACGUGUGUGUAUGCUAGCAGCGAUUUGGUGUGUGCUGAUGAUCAUGUAAAUUAUUAUGGGUUGAUUGCUCGUGGAUGUAAGGUCUAUGUACAGUUGUUAGAUGAGUGCUGUAGAGCCUCCGCAUGCGUGCGUGCUGCUUGGCAUUGCAGGUUUAUAAUCUCGGGUUGUAACUUGUAAGCCAGCAUCAGUUGUAGAGUAGGUGUGUCAAAAAAAGAAAACUCUUUCCUUUUUUUUUGGUUCAAGAAAACUCUUUCCGUUAUUUUGGUUCUACCGGCUGUUCUCCUGAAGAAAAUGUUUUGUGCUCCGUAUUUCGGUAUGAAUUCUAUGUUAUAUGAGAUGGUAUUUCAUAUUCAGUACAUGUAUAAUAGUCAAAGCAUUUCAAUGCAGGUGGGGGUGGUACAUCUAAUAGUAUUUUUUUUGUGCGCUGGUGUUUCCUGUGUGCUCCUAACUACGCAGAGGUCAAAUCUAUGCUCGUGCUUAUUGUGUUUGUAUCCACUUGAUACUUCAUUUUUAAGUUAAUAAAAUUCAUCUUUUUGUUAAAAAAAAGAAUCAAAACUCACUCAAAGUGAUGCUCUGGGUUGGCCCAUUUUCCAGUAUCUGCAUAUGGUUUUUUCUGUAUAAUGUGUCCUCGUGGCGAUCAAUGGGCUCCUAUGCGGCGCUUUAGGUGCCGAAUAGCUAACGCUCGUUAUAGCUUUGCUCGCAAGCCGCAGCCGAAUAAGGCCACCUCUCUCUCGCGCUUGCUCGCUUUAUCAAGUUCGCACGUUUUUCUUUCGUUAUUACCUACAGUAUGACCUUCCCCUAAAAGAAACUUACAGUAUGAUCUAGUGUACUACUUCCUCUGUCCCGACUGCAACAAGUAAGUCAGGAAGGAGGUAGUACUUGCCUCAAAAAGAAAAGAAAAAACUACAGUCCUACAUGGCCAGCGGUUUUCAAAAUCUAUGAACUUUUUAAAAUUUUAUGAACAAAAAUUCACGAAUCGAGAAAAAAUUAUGGUUUGAAAAAAAAUCAUUUUUUAAAAAAAUUAUGAUUUUGAAAUAUAUAAUCAUGAAUUUCAAAAAAGUUCAUGGCAUUUAGAAAAGUUUGUAAAUACAGGAAACAUUCAUAGAUUUUGAAACAACAUAAGUGGAUUCAAAAAAGUUCACUAAUUUAAUAAAGUGCUAGAUUUGAAAAUAGUUCAUGAAUUUCGAAAAAUAAGUUCAUGAAUCUUAAGAAAAAUUGUGAAUACAAAACGAAUCAUGAAUAUGAAAAAAGUUCACCAAUUUUUAAAAAGUGUGUGGAUUUAAAAAGGACGAUAUUUGAAAAAAAAAGUUCAAGAAUUUUAUAAAAGUUCAAAAAAUGGAAACUUCCUUAUUUUUCUAGAUAAAAUCACAAAUUUGAAAAACUUCACGGGUUUUGAAAAAGUUUAUAAAAACUGAAAUGAAUUUGUGAAUUUGAAAAACAUUCGUGCAUUUGAACAAAGUUUAGGAAUUUGAAAAAAAGUUCACGAAUUGAAGAAAUAGUUUACAAUACUAAAAAAGUGUUCACAAAUUUUGAAAAAGGAAAAGAAAGAGAACGAGAGAAAGGAAAAAAGUAAGAAAAACUGGCCGAAACAAAACCGAAAAAACAUGUGUCUUCUAGGCACAGGACAUGAAACAAAAGAAGUAUUAGUACGUACAGUAGGUUUUUUUGAGACACUCUCGCUAAGCUUUAUUUAAAUCACCCCAAUGUUUACAGGUAAAAAUAAAAGAUCUCCAGCAUGACCAAAUCAAACAUGAUGGCCAAACCCGAGUGUUAAAGCAUGCUUAGCGAGAUUGUGAGCCUCGGUAUUCAAGCUCCUAUACUCGUGAACUAUAUUACAAGACCAAAACACAGCCAAAUGUUCUUUGACUUCAUGUACUAUUGCACCAUAUUCCGCAAAAGAGCCCUGCUUAAUUCCGUCCACCACUGUCUUACAGUCCGAGGCCACCUGAAUCUUCCUCGCAUAAAGAUCUUCCGCCAAUGCUAGAGCCUCUCGAAAUGCCAUAGCUUCGAGUGUUUCUAGGCAUGAAAUAUUCCUGACCGUGAUGCAUGAUGCACCUAGAAAAGAUCCUUCAGAAUCUCUACUAACCAUAGCCACCGAACCAUAGUUUCCGUCUCUAGAUACAGUUGCAUCAAUGUUGAGCUUUACAUGAUCCUCCGGCGGUGCUACCCAUGAUGGUCUAGCUAUCGGGAUUCUAUUCUGACCACUUGAUGGCUUGGCAAGCACCCCCAUGUCAACUAAAAAACAGUUUAUGAAACAGUGGGUUGAUAGUGGCGACUAAUGUAUGUCCUCGUGAAUUACUUUUCAUCGAGCUUUCCAAAUAGCCCACAACAUACCUACCAUCCUCAUGAAUUCAUUCUCGUCGAGUGUCUCAUGCAUCAGGAACAACCACUCUUUUGCAUUCAUCUCCAGAUUUUCACACAUGUGUUCGACCAUCUCAUCUAGGGCCAACGCCCACACGCUUCUUGCCAUCAUGCAAUUAACGAGAGCAUGUCGCCAACUAUCACUAGCUGAACAUAUAGAGCAGACUAGGGAAGUUUUUCUUUUUUUUUUUUUUGCGGGAGAGCAGACUAGGGAAGUUGACAUGUGUCGAUGAUGUAAAAGAUCCGUAGUUGGCAGCGAGUCUUGACAAGGCCUCCAAAGAGCAGUCUAUAAAGACGACCACUUCUUUCCCUCGGCGCUAGUAUCUGAUGGCCCUUUAAUAUUUUCUAGCAGGUUCUCCCUCUGUAUUUUUGUUUUCACUAGCAGUUUAUAUACAGAGCUAACAGAGAAUUUGCUACGCGGGUCAGCACCCCAGGCCCAGAAAUCAUCAAGUCUUCUCAUGCACAAAGGGAUCCUCAGAAUAGCCUCCGCAUCGAAAGGCACAAAUGUUGCCCGCACUACCUCCUCUCACCAAGAUGCCGAGGAUACAUCUGUAAGCUCCGAAACCAAUCUGGGAGGGUUCCCAACCAGGGAAGGAAGUGGUUUCAUUAAACCCUCUCGAGGUAUCCAGUUACUCCGCAAAUAUUAGUUGAUUCUCCUGUUCCAAUACGUCUGAUAAUACCUUGACCAAAGUGUCUCUGCCGUCCAGAAUCGCACGCCAAACCUGUGAAGGGUGAGCACCCAGGCUCACCUCCAAUAAAUCCGUUGAGGGGAAGUAAUCCGCUUUCAAAAUCCUAGCACUGAGUGAAGUCGGUUCUUGGAUUAGUCGCCAUGCACUAUUGUAGGAUACUGCUAACACGGCACUACGAUCAGAGACCCUUUGCCGAAACGGUGUGCGAUGCAAUAAUCGCAAACGGUGGUGUAAAAACCGUCAAAAAAGUUGUAAAAUGUUUGCAAUGGCGGAGCCAUCAAACACAGUUCAGAUUUUAAUUGCGUGUGCGAUGCAGGACACACGAUUAAUCCAUUCAAACUGUCUGCGAUGAGACAGAACAAUAGAAACGGGCAGCCAUAAUAAUGUGUGUGCGAUGCAGGACACACGGUUAAUCCAUUCGAACUGUUUGCGAUGAGGUAGAACAAUAGAAAUGGACAGUCAUAUCAAUGUAUGUGCGAUAUACGACAUACGGUUAACUCGGAUGAACUGUUUUCGAUUAGGAAACACAACAGAAAUGGUUCAACUUAACAACAUGUGUGUGAUAUGCGGCAUACAGUUCACAUGGAUGAACUGUUUGCGAUGAGCCAGAAGAACACAAACGAGUCGUGUAAACAAGAUGUGCGUGAUACGUGGCAAAUAGCCGACUCGGAUGAACUGUUUGCGAUGAGAAAUUACAAUACAGACGAUCAAUACAGUUAUUUCGUGUGUGAUUCUGUGUGUACAAAAAACUUUGAAAAUGCAAACUAGUUGCUUGCGGUGGCGGAGUAUCGCACACAAUGCGUCUGCGAGCACUCGUGUGCGAUGAUUAGUAUGUUACACAUACGUUUUCUUAUGUUAACAUGUGUAUGAAUUUACAAUAUGGACAGUUAAUAUGCAAAUGCCUUCUGGACAUCGGGCACACGCUUAAACUCAAUGAACUGUGUACGAUACUAAUACUUUUCAUGAAAAUUUAUGAAUUUGAGUAACAUCAUUUGAGUAAUNNNNNNNNNNNNNNNNNNNNNNNNNNNNNNNNNNNNNNNNNNNNNNNNNNNNNNNNNNNNNNNNNNNNNNNNNNNNNNNNNNNNNNNNNNNNNNNNNNNNNNNNNNNNNNNNNNNNNNNNNNNNNNNNNNNNNNNNNNNNNNNNNNNNNNNNNNNNNNNNNNNNNNNNNNNNNNNNNNAGUGGUUACACUAUUCGACAAAAGGAGGAUCUUCGUAACACGGUUUUGACAUAUAUAGUAACAACUAGCACAUUUUAAGAGGCUGAGGGCCAACAACCACAACUAUCCACUAGAAGCAGCUUGAUCACGGCGACUCAGCAUCUCGUCAAUGAAAAGGAAGAGCCCUCAUGUGCCUUGGUAGAGCAUGAGUAGAACAGUGUCUCCAAUUUUCCAAUAUAGAUGCAUUGCCACGAGAAGCGAGAACUUGUUAAUUUGAAUGGUUCCAUUUCUGCGGAAAAUGCAGUACCUUGCAAUCACUUUGGCGUUAUUAGCAGGCACAAGUGUAAUUCGACCACGCCGGAGAAUCGAUCCAGGAACUGCUACAGGGGGCAAUUUCUGUUAACAUGUAGAAUAAAAAACAAUUGUAACAUAUCAUUAAAGAUAUAUAUAGUUUAUGAGCAUCAACAUUAAAAUAAGACUUUUCACCAGUGUUUUGUGCACACAAUUGGUCUUGUUCAGUGUGUGCACCAUAUGUCUAAUUAAUCCCAUCCAAAAUCCAGCAUUCAUACGUUGUGCUAUCUUUGUCAGAUUAUCAACAAAGUUUAUGACAUGCUUCAAGUCCUUCCGGUGAAAUUUGGUAUGCUUAGUAACAUACAGAUCGUUCACUAUGCAUCCAACAUAUCCUGCUUAAAAGGUGGAAAGGUAUUAUUUAUUCAGAACAUAGCAGAAGAAUAUAUAGUGUGCAUAAAUUGGUAAAUAAAAUUUGUUACUGCCUAGGAACGGAGUCAGAAUAUGAUAUCACAAUUGGUUGCUUAAAUAGUGAUCAAUUGGUUGCUUAAAUAGUAAUAUCACAGCAUGGAGAAAGUUGAAAGGACACUAACCUCGAUCAGAUUUUGAUCGACUGAUGACAUUGGGGAAGUAAACAUCCAUAUUAAUUAGACCAGGUUGUGGUGCACGCACUAGAAUUUUAUUGCCAGCUUUCAAUUCAUAACACUUAGACAUUUUUCUUCAAAGGUCUGCAUUAAAAUAAGAGUGACCAUAUUUAUCAAGUUUUACGUUAACCGUCAUUGUAAAUCUAUGCUGCGUUGUCAAUAUGACAUCCUGGGAGUCAUCAGCAAAGUAAAGCCCAAGAUUUCCUUCUACUCCUGUUCUUGCAAAGCAAGGGAUGUACUGCUUGAAAUGAAAAUUAAUAUUGUAAAUUAGAUAUAUUGAAAUAACAGAGCAAUAUGCAAAUAUGGGAGUAACUGAUAGAACAGAUCCAUAUAUAUAGAUGAAAGCAGAGUACAAAAAUAUAGAAUUAAAAUAGAUAAUGUAACAAAGAUUUGAUGCAAAUAUAUGGAUAAUAUAGCAACAGACGGUAUAUGUUCACAAAUUUAGGCCAUGCCGACCGUGGUAGGUUGAUAUUGAACAUAUCGAGCGCUCCCUGAAGUCAUCCGAAAUGGUGAGAUAGAACUUCAUUUUUGACUGGCCAUGACCACAGUUGCCCGAUUUGUGCUCGCACUAUGGACACAUGAAUGAAUACCCACGAAUCAGCUAGAACAAAAAUGAUUCCACGGCGAUUUCCGUCGGUUGAUUAACAACGACGAACCGACUACGAUAAGAGAUGAGUGAAUAUUUCGCUAAUUAAGUCGAUUACCUUCUCCAUGAGAAAAAUCCCCAGCCCAAUCCCAUAGAAAACCCAAUCGACCAGAGUCUAGAAUGUCGGUGUAGAUAGGCGGCGGAAAGCGGUAGGGGUGAAUCCAGUGUCGUUUGGAGCACAACCUACGCCCGCCGCCAACAGCCAUCGAGUUUAGGGUGCAGAGUUGCAGAGGAGUCCGCGACGAGUGAGUGGGGACGAAGUGGGCGAGGGUUUUCUUUUUUCCUUUUGCAUGUGUGAGUGAACACACACGAUUCGCUGAGGCAGCGGAGAUGGAUCGUGUGCGAUAGUAAAUCACCGAGAUUGAAUGGGAAUCCAAAUUUCCUUUGUCCUUCAUCCAUGAGUUUUUUUCUACGAUGAACAUAAACUCUGCUAAUCACCGUGUUCAAACUUGACACUUUUCUGGGUUCAUUUACAAUAUUUAGGGGAUCAUGUGCAUUUUGUAGGCAUUAAUGCACAUAAUUCAAAUUCAAACAAUCGGUGCAUGAAAGGGUGCACAAAAACGGUCUGGAAAAACUAUACUCGUGGUAUUUAGUAAUUUCUCAAGCCUUUUACAAGGAAUGGGCAGAGAUUUCAAUGGAAUGCGUGGCAAUAGUCAACCACAAAUGCGUCAUUUACUAGGUUAUCAACUAUAGAACAAUGAGAUAUGUGCUUGAAAAACAUGACGACUGGCAUGGUGCCAUGGUAUGGCCUCACCAUGCCCUGGUUAAAAGCUGAGAAGGUUUGAUUUAUGUCGUCAUGCACGUCCUCCAUAAAUCGAACCAUCACCGAGGAAGUUUAAUGCUUUCGAGAGGAAAAUCACCAAGAUUGAAGGGGAAUCCAAAUUUUCGUCCUAGUUUGUCAUUCAGUUUUUUUCCAACGAUCAACAUACCGCCUCAAAUGCAAUGUGUUCAAAUUUGAAAUUUUUCCGAACUUAUUUACCAUAUUUAGGGGAUCAUGUGCAUUUUAUAGGCAUUAAUUAUGAACAUAAUUCAAAUUCAAACAAUCAGUGCAUGAAAAGGUCCACAAGAACGGUCUGAAAAACCAUGCUCAUGCUAUUUAGUACAUUUUCAUGCCUUUUACAAGGAAUGGGCAGAUAUUUCAAGGAAAUGUGUGGCAAUAGUCAACCAUAAAUGCGUCGUUUACUAGGUUAACAACUAUAAAAAAUGAAAUACAUGCUUGGAAAACAUGACGCCUGGUGUGGUGCCAUGGUAUGACCUCACCGUGCCCUGAUAAAAAUGUCGUCAUGCACGCCUUUCAUAAAACGAACCAUCACCGAGGAAGUUCCAUGGUUUCGAGGGGGAAAUCACCAAGAUUGAAGGGGGAUCCAAAUUUCCUUUGUCCUUUGUCCACGAGUUUUUUUCUACGGUGAACAUACAACCUGCAAAUCAUCGUGUUCAAAUUUGGCACUUUUUUGGGUUCAUUUGCCAUAUUUAGGAGAUUAUGUGCAUUUCCUAGGCAUUAAUGCACAAAAUUCAAUUCAAACAAUCGGUGCAUGAAAGGGUCCACAAAAACGGCCUAUAAAACCAUGCUCGUGUCAUUUAGUAAAUUCUCAUACCUUUUACAAAGAAUGGACAGAUAUUUCGAUGAAAUGUGUGGCAAUAGUCAACCACAAAUGUUUGUUUGUUGGGUUUUCAACUAUAGAAAAAAUGAAAUAAAUGCUUAAAAACAUGACGCCUGGCAUGGUGCCAUGGUAUGACCUCACCAUGCCCUGGUAAAAAUUUGAGAAGGUUUGGCUUAUGUCGUCAUGCACGCCCUUCAUAAAUCGAAUUAUCACCGAGCAAGUUCCAUGCUUUCGAGAGGGAAACCCCCAAGAUUAAAAGAGAAUCUAAAUUUUCUUCAUUAUUUGCCCUGGAGUUUUUUCCUAUGAUGAACAUACACCCUGCAAAUCACCGUGUUCAAAUUUGGCAUUUUUUCGGGCUCAUUUACCAUAUUUAGGGGAUUAUGUGCAUUUUCUAGGCAUUUAGCGCAUAUAAAUCCAAUCCAGCUACAGAUGCAUGGGUGUGAUGUGAGGGACAUGGAUUGCCGUUCAAUCACGGCGCAUCCUACGAUGCACACGCGCGAUCCGCGUGGCUGGGGUUCCGGCUAAUCAUAAUGCAACACACAAUAGGCUCAGCGCACACUGUUUUCAGAAGCGACGAAGAUGAACCGUGUGCGAUAAUGAACGAGCAAAAUUGUAAGGGAAGCCAAAUUUUUGUUGUCGUUUGUCGUUGAGCUCUUGAAUACCACCGCACUAUACGGCUGCCCGGCCCCUCUGUCCCAAAGUUCUCUCCAGGCGUUGUCCAUGGCACCGCGACACACAUUAACUGGUAAGGAAGCGACGGCAUCCCGCCGCGCCGCAUUCCUCGCCGCCCGCGACCGCACACAUGGUAAGAAAGCGAUGGCAUCUCGCCGCGCCGAGUUCAUCAUCGCCGGUGGCCAGACAGUUACAUGGGCAGACUUUGAGGCUGCCAUGGCCGAAUGGGUGGUGGAUCUAGAGGCGGCCAAAGCCGCACAGAAGGAGCGGAAAAGACAGAAAGCAGUCAAGAAAAGAGAGUCCCGUCGCCGCAAGAAAAAAGAGGCCGCACGCCGUGGUGAGGAGAGCUUGGCGGAUAUCGAAGCACGAUGGGCUGCCGCCUACAAGGCCGGGAAAGAUAACGUCGGUGUCUGGCCAACAUGCCCCGAUGGCGGCAUGUGAGAAGUAGUUUAAGUUUGUAGUAUUCAAGCAAAUUACCAGUAGUACUUUAAAUUUGUAGUAUUAACGUACAAUGUCGGUAAGAGCAUCCUUUGAGGGCUUUGAGCGUUGAUUAGCAUGUGUGCCUAUGUGCAAUUUUUGCGUUUAUCAUUAGAAGAUCACAAAACACAUGUUUUCUAUGUCGUACCUGUCUGCGUUUUUUUUGCGUUAAUGACCCAUAAGUCUGUUACCUGUGUGAUGUUUCCUAAUAAACCAAGCGUACCAUUGACCGAAAAAAAUCAAGUACACAUGUACAUUUUAUUGGAGAUGGGAUCUGCCAACUUUCUUUUUUCUCACACACGAGUAUUUUACGCGCUUCGUCUGUGUUGUGUGUUUCCCCCGCCCAAGUUUCAAGUUUCGCAGCGAAAUUUUCAUUAGGCGCGCGAUUUCAGAAUUUAUUCCUCCAACCACAUCCCCACCCUCAGUAUCACCCCCUCGCGCCUCCCCCUACCGGCAUCUCAAACUGCCGCCGCCGCAACCACAACUUCAACCACAUCUACGUUCUGCUCAGAUCCAGUCAGGUAACCCACCGGUCUCUAUUACGUCCCCGGCCUAAUUGCUUNNNNNNNNNNNNNNNNNNNNNNNNNNNNNNNNNNNNNNNNNNNNNNNNNNNNNNNNNNNNNNNNNNNNNNNNNNNNNNNNNNNNNNNNNNNNNNNNNNNNNNNNNNNNNNNNNNNNNNNNNNNNNNNNNNNNNNNNNNNNNNNNNNNNNNNNNNNNNNNNNNNNNNNNNNNNNNNNNNNNNNNNNNNNNNNNNNNNNNNNNNNNNNNNNNNNNNNNNNNNNNNNNNNNNNNNNNNNNNNNNNNNNNNNNNNNNNNNNNNNNNNNNNNNNNNNNNNNNNNNNNNNNNNNNNNNNNNNNNNNNNNUAUGCGUGUUGACCUGGAGGAACACCUCGCCGCCGCCGCCGAUGACGACGACAUGGUGCAUGCUCCGGCCCAGAUGAAGUCCCCUAGCGACUACCCCCCAGGACUUAACAGGUAAGAUCUGACCAGCUAAAUCUUACCAAUACCACUUGCAACGUCUAUGAUUUGUACGGUUGAUGUAUUAAACAUGUUCGUGCCUUGUUUAUUUUAGUACUGCACACUAUGUGAUGUUCAAAUAUUACCGUGUCCAGCUCAAUUUCACCAAUACCAACAAUAACGGCCGAUGCUUUUGUUUGUCGUUGCUUUUGUUUGCCGUUGAGGUGAGAUGCGUAAGUACAUCGGCCUGUCCAUGUACUUACGCAAGGUCAUAACGGCCGAUGCUUUUGUUUGCCGUUGAGGUGAGAUGUAUCCCAUGUCUUACAGUAUUUCACAUAAUUUGUGCAAUUACAAUUUAACUUCUACCAUUUACUAGUUGCUUGUAGGUACACAUGUCAAUGGCACUAAUCCAUGUUUCGACCCGGAGGAACAGCUCGCCUCCGCCGUCGUUGACUUUGGACGGGCUCUGGCCAAGAUGAAGUGCCCCAGCAACUACCUCUCAGGACUUACCAAGUAUGUACUCACCAGUUCAAUCUUACCAAUACCAGUUGCAAUUAAUGACUAUAUUCUGUAUGGUCGAUGUAUUAAGCAUGUUCUAGUAAACAUGCCUAACACGUUUUUGCUACUUUCCCUACCUUUUAAUAGACAUCUGGGCCAUUCUCUGCUCUGGCAGCACCUGCCUUGUGAUGUUUAACUCUGCCAAUUGCAUUUUUAUCAGUACCGGUUUCAAUGGCCAUUAAGCCUGUUGCAAUUAACAGCUAAAUCCAUUUUUAAACAGUUGUAUUUUAAUGGCUACAAACUUACAAAACAUGACUUAGGAUGCUGUUAAGCCUGUUGCAAUUAACACUUGUAUCCAUUUUUUAAUCUGCCCAUUUGCUACCAUGCUACUCUCCAUAAUAAAGAUAUACUAGAGAUGCUGCCCAUUUGCUAUUUUUGGUGGAUGCUAAACUUGUUGUACUUAGCAUGCUUGUCCAUGUACUUAUGCAGGGUCAUAACAGCCGAUGUUGUUGUUUGCCGUCGAGAUUAGUUGCACCCCAUGUCUUAUAGUAUUUCACAUCAUUUGUGCAAUUGCAGUUUAACUUCUACCAUUUACCGAUUGCCAGUAGGUACACAUGUCAGUGCCACUGAUGCACGCUUUGACCCGGAGGAACAGCUCGCCUCCGCCGCCGCUGACUUUGGGCGGGCUCUGGCCAAGAUGAAGUGCCCCAGCAACUACCUCUCAGGACUUACCAAGUAUGUACUCACUAGUUCAAUCUUACCAGUACCAUUUGAAAUUAAUGGCUAUGUUUUGUACGGUCGAUGUAUUAAGCAUGUUCUAGUAAACAUGCCUAACACGUUUCAGCUAUUUUCUCUACCUUUUUAUAGACAACUGGGCCAUUAUCUGCUCUGGCAGCACCUGCCCUGUGAUGUUUAACUCUGCCAAUUGCAUUUUUAUCAGUACCGGUUUCAAUGGCCAUUAAGCCUGUUGCAAUUAACAGUUGUAUCCAUUUUUAAAGAGUUGUAUUUCAAUGGCUAUAAACUUACAAAACAUGAAUUAGGAUGUUAUUAAGCUUGUUGUAAUUAACAAUUGUAUACAUUUUUUAAUCCGGCCCUUUGCUACCGUGCUACUCUUUCAAAAUGAAGAUAUCACUACAGAUACUGCCGUUUUAUUAUCAUUUGCUAUUUUUGGUGGAUGUUAACCCUGUUGUAGUUAACAUUGGCUUUGUACUUACACAGGGCUACAAUGGGCGAUGUUGUUGUUUGCCGUCGAGGUUAGUUGCAUUCCAUGUCUUAUACACCAUCUAUUACUAAAUAUAAGUAUUUUUAGAGAUUCCAAUUUAGACUAUAUAAGGAGCAAAAUGAGUGAAUCUAGAUUCUAGUCUAAUCUAUAUAUAUAUAUAUAUAUAUAUAUAUAUAUAUAUAUAUAUAUAAUUCUAUAUACAUCCGUAUGUAGUUCAUAUUGAAAUCUCAAAAAAUACUUGUACUUAGGAACAUAGGUAGUUGUAUUUUACAUCAUUUGUGCAAUCUCAGCUUAGCUUCUAACAUUUACUGGUUGCUUGUAGGUACAUAUAUGAGCAGUACUGAUCCAUGCUUCGAUCCCUUCUGCGUAUGGGGCAAUGAGAUAUUCAUGAACAAGCGUCAAGUGUGGAAAUUAAGAAAGAUUGUUAGGCGAAAGAAACGGAUGAUUGGAAUUAAGCUCUUUAUUUACACUUUGUCGAAGACAACGAUGAACUUUAGGAUGAUAAGUAAUGUGUUGCCUUUUCCCCUGCCCACAACAAGUUACUCUAUUAGACCUCAGUAUCUGAUAUUUUUCUCUUUUCAGUGGUUUCCAAAGCUAUUUACUGAUGAUUACCUUGCAAACUACAUGACCGGAGUGGAGGCACCUAAGGUUAAAGUAUAUAAUUCAUGCUACCAUGAUAAUGCUUUAGAAGUGUUCCUGGAGGCGUUGAAGGAUGGGCGGGCGAUCGUCACAAGGGGUUGGACAAAAGUGGUUCGUGCCUAUGGCAUGCAGGAAGGCACAUUAUGGGCAUUACGCUUCUUCAACACUGUCGACGGUCAAAAUGAUUUACACUUGUCUCUUCACCUUUACCGCCUUUAAAUAAUGUGGUUCAUCAUAGUUAAUUGCUGCCUAAUCCUGUAAUUACUGAACAUAUUGUAUUGGCAAUUUUAUUUAUGGAUUCGUUGUUGAACUAUUGUGCUGAGAAUUUGAAUUGCACGUUUCAUAAAUUACAGGCAAAAAUAGAAAGAGAACAAAUGGUCAUGGAACUUUGCAAACGGUUCUGGCAGUAAAAGCGCUUGUGAUGGAUAGCCCAAUGCCACACAGUUUUUUUACAUCAAAUAGUGUGUGAUGUAGUUAAUGAAAGCAAACAGUUAACCAAGGCAGAGCGUGUGUGAUAGUUACACCUUUCACACACGAGCAUAUACAUAAAAUUGUGUGGGAUGUACAUAUGAACGGAAAUGUUUUCCCUAGAUUGACUGUGUAGGAUGUACAUAAGAACGGAAACGUAUUCCUUGGAUUGACUGUGUGUGAUAUACAUACGAAUGGAAAUGAUUUUCUGGGAUUCACCGUGUGGGAUGUACAUACCUACGGAAAUGUUUUUCUUGGAUUGCCGUGUGGGAUGUACAUACCUACGGAAAUAAUUGGGUUUCGAUGCCUCGCCAGAUCACACACGCCCCAGCCUGUGUCCCAGGAGGGCCUAUCCCCGACGAUUUCUGGGUCAUGUGGGAAGGACCCCCCUAUCGCCCACACUCACUUGGCGAUGGUUCCAAAUGCCGUCGCGAAAAGGGGUUAAAAACCGUUUGUAUAGCACCGACGCGCAGCAGUGAUGCCGGCCUCGAUAGAAGAUAUAGGUUAAAGAGCUCCAUGUCACGAAAGCCUAACCCUCCCAAAAACUUUGGUUUUGUGCAUACAUCCCGAGAGACCCAACACAACUUCCUUUUCCCCCUCUUGCUACCCCACCAAAAUUGACGAAUAAUUGAGGUUAUGUUUUCACAUACUCCCCUUGGUAGCCUGAAACAAGCCAUGGAAUAAAUAUGAAUGGCAUGUGCAACACCCUUGAUGAGGACUUCUUUUCCAGCAUAGGAUAGCAACUUUUCCAUCCAUCCUUUGACUUUCUCCCAUACUCUAUCUCUCAAGUACUUAAAAGUGUCGUUUUUUGAGUGUCACACAUUGGUAGGCAUGCCCAAGUACCUCUCUGUUAGUUGCUCAUUGUGCACGUUAAGCGAGCCCUUUAUGAUAUCACGUACCACUUGUGGGCAUCCCUUACUGAAGAAAAUCGAGGACUUAUGAUUGUUUACCCUUUGACCAGAAGCAUUGCAAUAGGCCUCCAACAAGUUUGACACUGCAACCGCCCCUUCAUUACUUGCCCUAAACAGCAUCAGGCUAUCAUCAGCAAAGAGAAGAUGGUUAACAACUGGAGCAGUCGGCGCCACCUUAACUCCCACCAAGCUAGAUGACUGAGAACUGAAUUUCAAAAGGCACGAUAGGCCUUUUGCCGCGGUCAAGAAAAUAUAGGGGGAGAUCAGGUCUCCCUGACGAAUCCCUCUAGUAGGUUUAAAAUGGUCAAGUUUCUCACCAUUGAACAGAACCGAGAAAGAAACUAAUUUUAUCAUACUCAUAAUUGUGUUAAUCCAUGACUGUGCAAUCCCAACUUACGCAUGAUUGCUUCCAAAUACGUCCACUCGAGCCUAUCAUAGGCUUUCAUCAUGUCAAACUUUAAAGCACAAUGGCUAUUUGACUUUGACUUGCUUCUUUUCAUAAAAUAUAGACAUUCAUACGCACUUAUAAUAUUAUCCGUUAUGAGCCUCCCUGGAACAAAAGCAGACUGCUACUCUAAAAUAAUGUCAGGAAGGAUUUGCUUCAACCUGUUUGCAAGUAUCUUCGACGCUAUCUUGUACAAAACAUUACACAAGCGUAUUGGUCUGAAUUGGGUUACAAGGGUCGGAUUCAAUACUUUUGGGAUAAGAACCAGAAAAGUGUCGUUUACGCAUUCAGGGCUCUCCUCCCCUCUCACAAUUCUCAACACAACAUUUGUCACCUCUUCACCACAAACAUCCCAAUGCCGCUGAUAGAAGUGCGCUGGAAACCCAUCUGGCCCCGGUGAUUUUGUUGGAAACAUCUGGAAAAGAGCCGUUUUUACCUCCUCUCGCGUGUACACCGCACACAAGAUGUCAUUCAUGUGUCCAGUCACCUUCCUAGGAACAUGAUCAAGAACUCCCUCCAUAUCUGAAACUCUUUCAGAAGUAUGCACCUCCUUGUAAAAAUUUGAGACCAAGUCCUUAAGUUCAGCUGGAUCGUCCACCAACACCCCAAGGGAGUUUGACAAUGCUUUUAUCAUGUUUUUCUUUCUCCUCAUACUCGCUCGAAGAUGAAAUUUUUUGUGUUCCUGUCACCCUCCUUGAGCCAAUUAAUUCUCGAGUGCUGCCUCCACAAUAUUUCCUCUCUAUGGUAGAGUUCGACAAGCCUUUCAUUUAUCUUGAGUUCCUCAUGACCAGGUCCAGUCCUUGCCAGAUCACUUCUAAGUCUUUCAAGAGCCCUCUUCAAACCUUUAAUUUCUUUACAUACUGACCCAAAAGUGUCAACAUUCCAACUCCUGAGCCUGUUGGACAGUGAAGCCAGCUUAUGUUUAAUGUCGUCAACUCUCAUGCUUGGUUGGUGUGCAUCCCCUGUCUCCACAAUUCUUUCUUUCAGUACGCACAGUAGGUGAGCCGUCUGUGUUGGCUACAUUCAAUCUCACUACCUGCAACAUUUUUGAAGGUUCAAUAAAAUGGGCCAAGCCCAGAAAUGCAAGGGGGUGUGCGUUGGUUUGUUGAGUUGCCUUUACGCGUCGGGUCUCGUUUAUAGAGAGACCUCGAGAUGGGCCGACCUAGGCACGCGUGAGGCCAGAACCCCCCUUUUAUCAAGUUUUUCUUUUCUUUUUAUACUCCCAAAUAUUCUUCAAAAAAGUACAUCAAAAAAUUGAAAAAUGUUAAUCAAGCAUUUGAAAAAUGCUAAAUACAUAUAGAAAGAAUGUUUAUCAUGUAUACAAAUAAUAUACAAUGUGUAUUAAAAAAUGUCAAUCAAGCAUUUCAAAAAUGUUAAUAAAAUAUUUCAAAGACACAAAUCAAGCAUUUAAAUAAUUUUAAAUGUAUAUAGAAAAAUAUUUCUCAUGUAAUGAAAGUGUAUUAAAAAAGAUUCGCCGCCUCGUGAGCCGUCGGAUCUGACACAUGUCUAGCGGGUGAACUUCUUUUCUCUACUUUGCAACAAAGACCUUGUUGCAGAAACAUUUAUAAUAGAGAUUGUGUUGAAGAACUUUUGUGCAACAGAGGUUGUGUUGCGGAUUUUUUUGCAACAAGGGUAUUGUUACGUUUUUUUACAACAGAGGUCUUGGUGCGAUUUUUUUGCAAUAACGGUCUUGUUGCACAUUUGUGUUUUGCAACAGCAGUCAUGUUGCAGAAGCGGACGACGCCUUUCGUCGUCAGUGUCGAGCGGAGGUCAUCUUCUUCAUCACCCGAUAGAAGCAGAAGCGGGCACCGUCAAUCAAGAAGAGGGAGGAGGAGAGAGGGUGGGUGGUGAUGGAGGCGGCCGACAACCGCGACAACGGAGAGCAUGCUCGCUGGCAUCAGCGGCGACGUGGCUAGAUGAAGGAGAGAAGAGGAAGGAGGAGAGAGGGUUGAUGGUGGUAGAGGCGGUCGACGACUGCGACGCGGAGCGCGUGCUCGCCGGCGUCAGCACUGGUGCAACGAGGGUGCUCGUCGGCGGCGCGGCUGCCAGCGCCUGUUCUGGAUGAAGGUGAGAAGAUGGAGGAGGAUAGAGGGUGGAUGGUGGUGGAGGUGGCCAACAGCCACGACGGCGGAGCGUGUGCUCGCCGGCGUCAGCGGUGGCACAGCGGGGGUGCUCGCUGAAGGAAAUAUGCCCUAGAGGCAAUAAUAAAGUUAUUAUUUAUUUCCUUAUAUCAUGAUAAAUGUUUAUUAUUCAUGCUAGAACUGUAUUAACCGGAAACAUAAUGCAUGUGUGAAUACAUAGACAAACAGAAUGUCACUAGUAUGCCUCUACUUGACUAGCUCGUUGGUCAAAGAUGGUUAUGUUCCCUAACCAUAGACAUGAGUUGUCAUUUGAUAAACAUCAUCACAUCAUUAGGAGAAUGAUGUGAUUGACUUGACCCAUCCCGUUAGCUUAGCACUUGAUCGUUUUAGUUUACUGCUAUUGCUUUCUUCAUGACUUAUACAUGUUCCUAUGACUAUGAGAUUAUGCAACUCCCGAUUACCGGAGGAACACUUUUUGUGCUACCAAACGUCACAAUGUAACUGGGUGAUUAUAAAGGUGCUCUACAGGUGCCUCCGAUGGUACUUGUUGAGUUGGCAUAGAUCGAGAUUAGGAUUUGUCACUCCGAUUGUCGGAGAGGUAUCUCUGGGCCCUCUCGGUAAUGUACAUCACUAUAAGCCUUGCAAGCAAUGUGACUAAUGAGUUAGUUGCAGGAUGAUGCAUUAUGGAAUGAGUAAAGAGACUUGCCGGUAACGAGAUUGAACUAGGUAUUGAGAUACUGAUGAUCGAAUCUCGAGCAAGUAACAUACCGAUGACAAAAGUAACAACGUAUGUUGUUAUGCGGUUUGACUGAUACAGAUCUUCAUAGAAUAUGUGGGAGCCAAUAUGAGCAUCUAGGUUCCGCUAUUGGUUAUUGACCGGAGAUGUGUCUCGGUCAUGUCUACAUAGUUCUCAAACCCGUAGGGUCCGCACGCUUAACGUUCGGUGACGAUCGGUAAUAUGAGUUUAUGUGUUUUGAUGUACUGAAGGUAGUUCGGAGUCCCGGAUGAGAUCGGAGACAUGACUAGGAGUCUCAAAAUUGUCGAGACGUAAAGAUCGAUAUAUUGGACGACUAUAUUCGGACACCGGAAGUGUUCCGGGUGGUUUCGGAGGAAACCGGAGUGCCGGAGGGUUACCGGAACCCCUCGGGAGAAAUAGUGGGCCUUAUGGGCCUUAGUGGAGAGAGAGAGGGCUGGCCUAGGGCAGGCCGCGCGCCCCUCCCCCUCUGGUCCAAAUUGGACUAGGAGAGGGGGGGGCGGCGCCCCCCUUUCCUUCUCCCUCUCCCCCUUCCUUUCCCCCUCCUGGUAGGAGUAGGAAAGAGGGGAGUCCUGCUCCUACUAGGAGGAGGACUCCUCCUCCUGGCGGGCCUACAGGGGCCCGCCGGCCUCCCCCUUGCUCCUUUAUAUACGAGGGCAGGGGGCACCUCUAGACACACAAGUUGAUCUGUUGAUCUCUCCCAACCGUGUGCGGUGCCCCCCUCCACCAUAAUCCACCUUGAUCAUAUCGUAGUGGUGCUUAGGCGAAGCCCUGCGUCGGUAGCAUCCAGGGCCGGGCUGGCAAAUUCUGGGGCCCUGUGCGAAACUAAAAAAUGGGGCCCUACUUGCUAUAAAAAUGAACUGACGAGCAACUAUAGUGUAUAUGUAUCUCGCAUAUUUUUUUAUAAUGUAUAACAUAAGAUGUAUUAAUUAAAUUUCGUUAUGUUUCUUUUCUCUUGCUCUUAUAGGAACCAGCCAGAUUUUCCCCCAUGUUUUCUCAAAUCUGUAUUAUUAAACACAAGAUAAAAAAAGAUGAAUACAAAAACUAAAGUUACGCAGUAGCAUAUAUCAAUUGAAAAGCAUGCAUCAAUAUUUUGCAAUUAAAUGAACCGUCUAACUCACCUAGUUUUGGGUCUUGUCCGGUUGAACUACUACACAGUGAUCUUUAAUCGAGGGGGUAAGAACUAAUCUGUAACGAAGUAACGGUUCUUACAAAAAUUUAAUUAGGAAAUUAGAAAUUAGGAGUAGGAACCGAAGUUAAUCGGAAAGGAGGAUUCGUUAAGCACCUGAAGGCUGGAGUCGGUCACUCGGUCAUGGAUUGGUCUGAUGAGGCGACCCCGUUUUCUGUAGCAACGACGAUAGAACUGCAGCGGCCUGAAGUAACGAUCCUCAAAAAUUGGGAGAGAAAGCUACGAAGGCAACGACAUCGGCUCGAAUUUGUUCGCUCUGAUGAGGUGAAGGCGAGGACCGACGAGACGAUCUCAUUUCGUGUUGCGAGGUGGACAUGACUGUUGUUGCGGUUUCAGAUCCCGAUCGGCUGCUGCAGCGAUCCCUUACUUUCAGACAGAGCAAUUUCCUUUUUAUGGGAACAUCGAGCGAAUCCUUCUCCACCAAGUGAUAGCUUUUUCCAUCGAGCGAUCGAGGCACGAGCACUCGACGGCCUCUACUCGGCCCAACUCCAGCGCCAAGCGGCCGAGUGCGGCAGAGCCUUGACAUCUUUUUAGAAAUACUAUGCCUAUAUAAAAAAACUGGGGGCCCUCAAAAUUAUGGGCCAUGUGCAGGCCGCACAUCUGGCACCACUAUGGGCCCGGACCUGGUAGCAUCAUCAUCACUGUCAUCACGCCGGCGUGAUGACGAAACUCUCCCAUGAAGCUCUGCUAGAUUGGAGUUCGUGGGAUGUCAUCGAGCUGAACAUGUGCUAAACUCAGAGGUGUCGUGCGUUCGGUAUUUGAAUCGGUCGGAUCAUGAAGACGUACGACUACAUCAACCGUGUUGUGCUAACGCUUCCGCUUUCGGUCUAUGAGGGUACGUAGACACACUCUCCCCUCUCGUUGCUAUGCAUCACCAUGAUCAUGUGUGUGCGUAGGAAUUUUUUUGAAAUUACUACGUUCACCAACAGUGGCAUCCGAGCCAGGUUUAUGCGUAGAUGUUAUAUGCACGAGUAGAACACAAGUGAGUUGUGGGCGAUACAAGUCAUACUGCUUACCAGAAUGUCAUACUUUGGUUCGGCGGUAUUGUUGGAUGAAGCGGCUCGGACCGACAUUACGCGUACGCUUACGCGAGACUGGUUCUACCGACGUGCUUUGCACACAGGUGGCUGGCAGGUGUUAGUUUCUCAAACUUUAGUUGAACCGAGUGUGACUACGCCCGGUCCUUGUUGAAGGUUAAAACAUCACUAACUUGACGAAAUAUUGUUGUGGUUUUGAUGCGUAGGUAAGAACGGUUCUUGCUCAGCCCAUAGCAGCCACGUAAAACUUGCAACAACAAAGUAGAGGACGUCUAACUUGUUUUUGCAGGGCAUCUUGUGAUGUGAUAAGAUCAAGAAAGUACUUUGGAGAGAUCAAAGGCACAAGAUGAUGAUGGCCAUAUCAUGUCACAUAUUUUUGAUUGCAUGUGAUGUUUAUCUUUUAUACAUCUUAUUUUGCUUAGAUAGACGGUAGCAUUAUAAGAUGAUCUCUCACUAAAUUUCAAGGUACAAGUGUUCUCCUUGAGUAUGCACCAUUGCGAAAAUUCAUCGUGCCGAGACACCACGUGAUGAUCGGGUGUGAUAAGCUCUACGUUCACAUACAACGGGUGCAAGCCAGUUUUGCACACGCAGAAAUACUCGGGUUAAACUUGACGAGCCUAGCAUAUGCAUAUAUGGCCUCGGAACACUGGAGACCGAAAGGUCGAGCGUGAAUCAUAUAGUAGAUAUGAUCAACAUAGUGAUGUUCACCAUUGAAAACUACUCCAUCUCACGUGAUGAUCGGACAUGGUUUAGUUGAUAUGGAUCACGUGAUCACUUAGAUGAUUGGAGGGAUGUGUAUCUAAGUGGGAGUUCUUUAAUAAUUUGAUUAACUGAACUUUAAUAUAUCAUGAACUUAGUCCUGAUAGUAUUUGCAUAGCUAUGUUGUACUCCCUCCUUUCCGGUUUAUAGGGCUUAUCUCAAAAUUUUAGUUUUUCCAUUUUAUAAGGCUCAAUUUGGUUGUUCCCCAUCACAUGUUCAGCCUUCAAGGUGCAUUAAAUCAUUGCAUACAAGUAUUAAGAGAAAAUUGACCAAUGCAUGCACUUUAUGCAUGCAUGCUUUGCAAUUAAUGCAUUCGUAAACAUAAUUUUUUGAGGAAAACAAGAGCAUUAAUUGGGUGCUUUUGCAAACUACAAAAAAUAUUCCACCACUCAUCAUCUACCUUGGUUGGUGAGAUUUUUGAAUUGAGCCUUAUAAACCAGAAAGAAGGGAGUAGAUCAAUAGCUCGCGAUGUAGCUCCCCGUUUACUUUGGUAUGUUCCUAGAGAAAAACUAAGUUGAAAGAUGUUAGUAGCAAUGAUGCGGAUUGGAUCUGUGAUCUGAGGAUUAUCCUCAUUGCUGCACACAAGAAUUAUGUCCUUGAUGCACCGCUAGGUGACGGACCUAUUGCAGGAGAAUAUGCAGACAUUAUGAACAUUUGGCAAAGCUCGGUAUGAUGACUACUUGAUAGUUUAGUGCACCAUGCUUUACGGCUUAGAACCGGGACUUCAAAAAUGUUUUGAAUGCCACAGAGCAUAUAAGAUGUUCCAAGAGUUGAAAUUAGUAUUUCAGACUCAUGCCCAUGUCGAAAGGUAUGAUACCUUUGAUAAGUACUUUGCCUAAAAAAUGGAGGAGAAUAGCUCAGCUAGUGAGCAUGUGCUCAGAAUGUCUGAGUUCUACAAUCACUUGAAUCAAGUGGGAGUUAAUCUUCCAGAUAAGAUAGUGAUUGACAGAAUUCUCUAGUCACUAUCACCAAGUUACUAGAACUUCGUGAUGAACUAUAAUAUGCAAGGGAUAACGGAAACGAUUCCCAAGCUCUUCGUGAUAUGGAAAUCUACGAAGGUAGAAAUCAAGAAAAGCAUCAAGUGUUGAUGGUUGACAAGACCACUAGUUUCAAGAAAAGGGCAAAGGGAAGCAGGGGAACUUCAAGAAGAACGGCAAGCAAGUUGCUGCUCAAGUGAAGAAGCCCAAGUCUAGACCUAAGCUUGAGACUAAGUGCUUCUACUGCAAAGGGACUGGUCACUGGAAGCAGAACUGCCCCAAGUAUUUGGCGGAUAAGAAGGAUGGCAAAGUGAACAAAGGUAUAUUUUAUAUACAUGUUAUUGAUGUGUACUUUACUAGUGUUUAUAGCAACCCCUCAUUAUUUGAUACUAGUUCAGUUGCUAAGAUUAGUAACUCGAAACGGGAGUUGCAGAAUGAACAGAGACUAGUUAAGGGUGAAGUGACGAUGUGUGUUGGAAGUGGUUCCAAAAUUGAUAUGAUCAUCAUCACACACUCCCUAUACUUUCGGGAUUAGUGUUGAACCUUAAAUAAAUGUUAUUUGGUGUUUACGUUAAGCAUGAAUAUGAUUGGAUCAUGUUUAUUGCAAUACAAUUAUUCAUUUAAGUCAAAGAAUAAUUGUUGUUCUAUUUACAUGAAUAAAACCUUCUAUGGUCAUACACUCAAUAUAAAUGGUUUAUUAAAUCUCGAUCUUAGUGAUGCACAUAUUCAUAAUAUUGAAGCCAAAAGAUGCAAUGUUAAUAAUGAUAGUGCAACUUAUUUGUGGCACUGCCAUUUAGGUCAUAUUGGUGUAAAGCGCAUGAAGAAACUCCAUGCUGAUGGGUUUUUGGAAUUACUUGAUUAUGAAUCACUUGAUGCUUGCGAACCAUGCCUCAUGGGCAAGAUGACUAAGACUCCAUUCUCCGGAACAAUGGAGCGAGCAACUGACUUAUUGGAAAUAAUACAUACUGAUGUAUGCGGUCCGAUGAGUGUUGAGGCUCGCGGCGGGUAUCGUUAUUUUCUGACCUUCACAGAUGAUUUGAGCAGAUAUGGGUAUAUCUACUUGAUGAAACAUAAGUCUGAAACAUUUGAAAAGUUCAAAGAAUUUCAGAGUGAAGUGGAAAAUCAUCGUAAUAAGAAAAUAAAGUUCCUGCGAUCUGAUCGUGGAGGAGAAUAUUUGAGUUACGAGUUUGGUCUUCAUUUGAAACAAUGCGGAAUAGUUUCGCAACUCAAGCCACCUGGAACACCACAGCGUAAUGGUGUGUCUGAACGUCAUCACCGUACUUUAUUAGGUAUGGUGUGAUCUAUGAUGUCUCUUACCGAUUUAUCACUAUCAUGUUGGGGUUAUCAUUAGAGAUAGCUGCAUUCACGUUAAAUAGGGCACCAUCUAAAUCCGUUGAGAUGACACCAUAUGAACUGUGGUUUGGCUAGAAACCCAAGCUGUCGUUUCUUAAAGUUUGGGGCUGCGAUGCUUAUGUGAAAAAGUUUCAACCUGAUAAGCUCGAACCCAAAUCGGAGAAAUGUGUCUUCAUAGAAUACCCAAAGGGAACUAUUAGGUACACCUUCUAUCACAGAUCCAAAGGCAAGAUCUUUGUUGCUAAAAGUGGAUCCUUUCUAGAGAAGGAGUUUCUCUCAAAAGAAAUGAGUGGGAGGAAUGUAGAACUUGAUGAGGUAAUUGUACCUUCUCCCAAAUUGGAAAGUAGUUCAUCACAGAAAUAAGUUCUAGUGAUCUCUACACCAAUUAGUGAGGAAGCUAAUGAUGAUGAUCAUGAAACUUCAGAUCAAGUUACUACUGAACCUCGUAGGCCAACUAGAGUAUGGUCCACACCAGAGCGGUACGGUAAUCCUUUCUGUAAGUCAUGUUACUAGACCAUGACGAACCUACGAACUAUGAGGAAGCGAUGAUGAGCCCAGUUUCCGCGAAAUGGCUUGAGGCCAUGAAAUCUGAGAUGGGAUCCAUGUAUGAGAACAAAGUAUGGACUUUGAUUGACUUGCCCGAUGAUCGGUGAGUCAUUAACAAUAAAUGGAUCUUCAAGAGGAAGCCAGACGAUGAUAGUAGUGUUACUAUCUACAAAGCUCGAAUUGUCGCAAAAUGUUUUCGACAAGUUCAAGGUGUUGACUACGAUGAGAUCUUCUCACUCGUAUCAAUGCUUAAAAGUCUGUCCGAAUCAUGUUAGCAGUUGCCGCAUUUUAUGAAAUAUAGCAAAUGGAUGUCAAAACUAUAUUCCUUAAUGGAUUUCUUAAAGAAGAGUUGUAUAUGAUGCAACCAGAAGGUUUUGUCGAUCCUAAAGGUGCUAACAAAGUGAGCAAGCUCCAGCGAUCCAUCUAUGGACUGGUGCAAGCAUCUCGGAGUUGGAAUAUAUGCUUUGAUAAAGUGAUCAAAGCAUAUGGUUUUAUACAGACUUGCAGUGAAGUCUGUAUUUACAAGAAAGUGAGUGGGAGCUGUAGGGUAACGCAACAGAAAACAAAAAAUUCUGACCCACGCACCAGCCCAGGACCACUAUGGAGACUACAUACAUGGUUUGAUAUUUUUCAUUACCGACUCGUAGCGCAGCGGAAGUAGAGUCGAUGAUGAGUGGCGGUGCAGAUCCCCGCAGCUAGGAUUUACAACCUCCCAACCGCGAGGAUGUAUACCCUCAUCCACCCCACGGACAGCCCUCCGGGAGGCGGUCACACAGUUCCUCGGACGGUGUCGCGGACAGCCCUUCGGGAGGAGUCACAGAACUCGGACCGUCACUUGGACAGCCCUUCGGGAGGCACUCUCAAAACAUCCCCUCGGACAAAAGGAUCGAAACUACGACCUCUCUACGGGGUUGCACACAUACGGUGUCAUCUAUCCGGCAGGGGUUCGCCAUCCAGAACUAGUUCCUGCCGGAACCCAGACAACCUUUCGGCUCUACAAAACUAUUUCGCUGGGAGGGGGAGAGAGAGCCAGAUCAUGCAUGGCAUUUGUAUGAGAGCAAGAUUGUGUCUUUAGGCAGCCCCCUCCACCCCUAUUUAUAGGCCAAGCCCAAGGGUGGCUUCUCCAAGAAGCCAAAGGGGAUAAUACCAAAAGGCCCUCAAGGUGGCUUCUCUAAGAAGCCAAGCAAAAAGCACUUUCACUAUUCACGACGACAUUUUUCAGCGUCCGUUCGAACUAAAAAUAUUUAUGUGGGCUCAGAACAUUUCCAGUACCCACUAAAAUAAUUUUCAUUGUGUUCCAAACCAAUUUCGGUUUAGUGAAUUUCAUCUGCGAAAAGCAAACAAGAAUGCGUUUUCACUAUUCAUGAAGACAAUUUUUUCACGUCCAUUACAUCCGAAAAUAUUUCUAUGGGUCUUAGAAUAAUUCCAGUACCCACUAAAAUGAUUUUGGAUUCAUUCCGAAACAAUUUCAGAUUAGUGAAUUUCAUUUGUGAAAAGCAACCAAACCGGUACCGACAGCUCCGGAACAAUUCCAGAAAGUUUCCAGAAUGACUCUGGCACCCUCCAAGAAUUAUCAGGCAUGUGCCGAAACCAAUUUGACUUAAUAGUAUAUCCCGAAACAACUUUUUGGUUUAAUUGAAACUCAUCUGAUGACCUCUCUCUGUGGAACUUUUCCACUGUCUGAAACAUUUUGGUGUCCGAAACUUUUUCGGUGAUUUUCUCUCAAACUCCCUGUCUAGUAUUCAGCAGAUAGAUGACCCUUAAGCGUGUGACCCUAUAGGUUCGGUGAAGCAUAGACAUGACCGGAACACUUUCUGAUCAAUGAUCAACAUUGGAGCCGUGGACACCCAUAUUGACCCCUAUACCCACAUGAAUGAAUAUUCGAGCGAACCUCCAGUUGUCGUGUGCUAUUCAUGUUGCUUCGUGAUAUGUUACAAAUACCCGAGGUGAGACAUGUUGGCAUCCCCAUGGAUAAACAACUUGUCCACUAUGCCAGUUACCUCGUUACCGGUAUUGUUCUCUUUUGUCGUUCCCAUGUUCCGGCAUCCCCGUGAUCAAAUCACAAAGUGUCUGGCCAGACGAUGAUGGAUACCGUAACACCGAGAGGUCCCAGAGAUGUCUCUCCAUCGUCGGAGGAGCAAAUCCCAAUCUUGAGCUAUCAAGUUACUUGACAUACUUUUCCAUGAACCCGUAAGCCGCCGUAAUAGCCACCCAUUUACGGAUGACGUUUAACAAACCCCAAAGUUCAUGAAGCAAGCAUGAAGAAACUUGAUACUCUCAUGGUCUAAGGAAUCAUGCAAACGUUAACCAUCCCUGUGUUAUGUACCAUUAACUUGUGACGAAUGAAUCUCAUAGCAUAACAUCAAUCCAGGUCGAUUCAACACAAAUAUUCUCUUAACAUUGUGCCCUCAAAGUUGCUGGCAUAGACAUGCCCAUGAUCAGGAAAACAGAACCAUCAUGCAACACUUGAGCUAGUCUUAGAGGCCAUACUAAGAAUACUUCUUACCGUUUAUUAUUCCACACGUGCAUAUGAGUCUUCCUCCAAGCCUCGUGUUAUUGCAGACUCGAGAACCAUAGCAGUUAUAGCAUGGAACAUAAACAUAAUUAUGAACUUGGAGAUAAAUAAUAUCAUUUAUUAUUGCCUCUAGGGCAUAUCUCCUACAGACUCCCACUUGCACUAGAGUUAAUAAUCUAGUUAAUGCUAAUGCACUUUACACGUAUGGCAUACUGGUGUAAAAAAUGCUUCUCAUGUGGUAUAGCCUGAUGUCCAUCGGAUCUGACAACUUCAGCUUUGUGUGUAUCUCUGCACAUCCUCGCGUUUUCACGCUUUCACAAAAUUCAUAUUUUGUGCGGACUUGGCUUUGUAUAUAUGUGAAUCAUUGGUUGAAACAUGAUUCUCAGACUGAGUUAUGGAGCAACUAUCUGCAAUAGUGUCCCAUUGACCAAAGCCUUCUUGGAACCAUACUAAGUUCAUGAAUGAACUAUAUGAUGCAACAUCUUUGUCUUUGUCGCUUCUAAAGCGGCAACAUACUUCGCCUCUGUUAUAGAAUUCACCAUAGUAACUUGUUUCGAACAAUUUCCAACUAACUGCACCACCAUAUUGUGUGUUACACAAAACCCUCAAUUUAAAUCAAAAAUCACAUGGAGAAAUGAUGAAGAUUGUAUCGAUGUAACCUUUUACAAUGAACUCUUCAUGAUCUCCACUUGCGAGAAAACAUGUCAUCAGUGCUACUUUAGUACUCAAUGAUCCUUUUUCACUCUUGUCCCAUGAUCAGUACUUUUGAUCACUUUGGUAUCUAUACUCGCAACAUCUUGGGAGUAUUAGACAUAUCUGGUUGUUUUACAUACCAUGGAAUACAUGAUUAAUCCAAACGCAGGAGUGUGUGGAAUCUCCAUCAUGUAUUUUGCUCAUCAGUCUUUUGGGACACUGAUUCUUGCAAAAACUCUUUCCAUGUGACUUCGGCAAGAAUCACUCCUUGUCGUUCUUAGUGCUAAACGGUUUUAGCAUCUUGUCAAUAUGUAUUUUUGCUCAGCCCUAUUAGGUAAAUCUAUCUCCAUAGAUCAUUAUGCCUAAUAUCAAGGCUAUUUAGCCCAACACUUCAUUGAAAAACUAUUUUCAAAUGAAGUCCUAAUUCGUGUCAAGAAAUUUAUUUCCAAUUAACAAUGUGUCAAGCACACAAGGUUUUCAGAAAUAUUAUUAUGCUCCCACUUACUUUCUUGAAACCACAAGCAUCUUCGUUACCCAUUGAUGAAGUCAAAUCCCUUUGACCAUUCCAUCAAAAAUGAAGAUUCCAACUCCAUUUUGCUCUCUUCUGUCCAUUGCUGGAACUCCGAAGCUAGCAUACUUAGUAGCAUCCUUUGGACCGACAAAAUACUUUGGAAUGUAUCACAUACAAGUCCUAGGUUUUAAUUCCAUUUCAUGGAAAUUCUUUUGUCAUCCAUGUUUCAUAUCUCACGUUUUGAAAUAUGUAUUAAUUGCUAGUUUAACCCGAACCGACUUUAAGCAUUGCUACGGUGAGGCAAUCUCAUUGUAGUCAACUCCUUGAACUUGUUAUUGCAACAAGUCGAGCUUAAUGGAUAAAACAUUUUUAUCCAUAUCAGUUUAUAGUCCCAUUACAAUCCGUUAGACUCCAAGUCUUUCAGAGGGUUUAUCAAGAUUUAAAUCUUGAAUCAUUUAUGGAAACUAUCUCGGAUUAUAUUGGCAUUCAGCCAAUUCCGGAGUCAGGGCCCAUCAACGCUUCCUUGUGUAUCAUAGGUAUACUGUUGUCUAACAACAAUAUCUCGUUUGCGCACCUGAGAGGUUUGCAUGUGCUUUGCUUAUGUUGUUCAGCUACAAGUUCGACCAAAGUCCAUACAUCUAAUGUAGAGGUUUCCGUAUCAGUCGCAGUAGGAAACUCUGGAAUUACUUCCAAUGUCCCUUUCCUUUGACCUGAUGAUGAAGAUACUUGUUAUCUCAUCGAGUUGCACUGUCCUCCCACUUACCCUUUUGCAAGAACUAUUCUCUUUAAAAGCAUAUCUUUUUGUGGCAAAAAUUCUUUGCCUCGGUAUAGUGGUGGGGGAAUACCCAAUGACUUGGGAUAACUUACAAAGUAGCACUUUUCUGAUUUGGAAUAGGUUUGUAACCUUUUACACAAGCCCCAUAUUCCAAAUGUUAAGAAAAGAUAUAACAUGGUUGGGCGUACCAUACCAUGCCAUCAUUUCAAGAGACCUGAUGGAGCUCUUUUCAGUGUAAAAGUCGCAGUCUCUAAAGCAUUACUCUUCAAAAGUGAUAAUGGCAAAUUUAUUUAUGUCAUCUUUGAUCUUACCAUGUCAUAAACGGGUUGAUUACAUCUUAACAGAUAUUCCACUCAUAGUGGUGUUCCGGGAGGUGUAAGUUAUGAAACUCUUUUCACAACUCAUCAAACAUUUGCUAAACUUGUAACUCAGAUAUUCCUUUCUGCAAUCAAAUUGUAGAAACAUAAUUUCCUUGUUACAAUAACUUCUACUUCAUUUUUGAAAACCUUUCGAAUGAUUUCAAAAGAUCCAGACUUACGUCUCAUCAAGCGAAUAUCCAUAUAUCUACUUGAGUCAUUUCUGAAGAUAUAUAAAUCCACUACUUGCAACAACAUUUAUUGAACUACACACAUCAAAAUGUAUGAUCGCCAAUAAGUUUGUUGCUCGUUCCUUAUGGCCUGUGAACGGUAUUUCAAUCACUUCACUUUUCGGAGGAAAGUUGCAAGUGUCAAAUGAUUCAAAAUGAAACGACUUCAAAAUCCAUCAUAAUGGAAUUUUUCCAUGCGGGUUUCUCCAAUGUCACCAAAUGCAGUGCCACACAUGUGUGGUAUUCUCAUAGUCUUGCAACAUUUAGCGUCAGUGUUAUGGAUGUAUCAUUUUACCAUCAAUAUUCAUAACAUACAUCCCAUCUUGGAUGGAAGCAUGGCCCUUCAUGUUAUUCAUAAUACCGAACAACAAUUGUUCUUUUAUGAACAACCCUUUCGCAAUAAAGAUUGUGCAAUGGGCUAGAGUGUAAGAAACUCUAAAAUGAAUUAUGAAAGUAAACACAGAGGUAAUAUAUUAAUAUCAUUAUUCAUAACAUACAUCUCAUUCAUAAUGAAAGUAUGGCCCUUAUGUUUAUUCAUAAUACUGAACAUCAAAAGUUCUCUUAUGAACAACCUUCUUGCAAGAUACUUUAUGCAAUGGGCUAGAGUGUGUAAAACUCUAAAAUGUUUUAUGAAAAUAAAUACAUAUGGUAAUACACCGAUGGAAGAUAUAGUAACAUUUACUAUGUUCCAUGUGUGUAUCUAAACCUCAUUCCUGGCCAGUCUUUCGGGCCAUAGUAGUGCUUACAUCGAGUUGCAACAAAAUGCAAUCGAGCGGGUAUCCUUGGGAUUAACUCAUAAUACCCAAGAAUUAGUGAUUAACAUGUUUAACCAUAACUCCAAGAACUAUAUCUUUCACCAGCCUUCUAUACAUCAAAAACUUGUAUCACAUUCAUACAUGAGCUGGAUAUUCCAGUCAUCUUUCUUUCUGUCUUUAUACUUCUAACAGUUUAACUUUUAGUAUUUCCUACUCGCAAAAGAAGCACCCAACUUAAGAGUGGCGUUAGCCCCGGACUUCCUAGGCAUGUAAGUCAUACUAACACCCUUUGGACACUUCCUUUCUCUUUAAGUUGUUGUUUUAUUCACCUUUCCUCAUAUGACAAGCGUUCUUAUGGAUCCCUCUCUUAUCAGUCUAAUGCAUAGUAAACACUUUACUAAUAAUUUGCAGACAAACAUUGCUUUGGAUAUUUCAUAUCUUUCAGCCAUUGUUUGUAUCUGAAAAUUAAUUUUCAGUUCCAUGAAUAUCACAUAACUAUCCCAAACUAUUGAAGUUUGAGUUUCAUGGAAGCAAACAUAUUGCACUUGACCGCAACAGAAUUCUAGCUUUUGGAUCGAAGGACGAGAGUCUCAUCAUCCAUUACAUUUAGCUGGAGUAUACAGAAAGCAUGUGAUAGGACAAAGUCCUUCUCGGCACUUUUGAGGGCAAUCCUCACAUUACGUUACCAAUCGUAAAGUUUUAACCAGAUAUUUAACAUCUAUUCAAUUUUAACGGGGAAGGUGGAAACGCGAGCCAUUAUUCUACAACUAUUUUGCAAGAAACACUUAGACAGUGUUCAUAAUUAAUUGCACUGAGAAUUAAACAAGUUAAUUCUAUAGUGCGCUCCCACUCAAUUCAAUAUCUCUCAAAAUUGAUUGUGAGUGAUUCAAGAUCCGCAUUUCAAUUCGACGCCAUUGACGGGUUCAUCACUGAUGAUGCGAAUUUGAAUCGGUAGGCCAACUUGCUGAUCACAUCUCUAUGUUGUUCUUGUUCAUCUUUCAAUGGGUGUGUUCCGAGCUCAGGACGAUCAUGCCUGAACGUCAAAGACAACCAAGUGAUCUUGCUGCGAGGUAUGACCUCACCCACCUCAUUCCUCUCAAUUCGUUCGUGCUCAUGUGUACAUGGCGCACCCCGAAAAGAUAUGAAUUUCAGACGGUGCUACACUUGGGUGAACAAUAACUACUUUGAUAUUUUGAAGUGAGAGAUCACCCUAAUAAAAAGCGACUACCGCGCAAUCAAGAAGGGUGCAACAAGAGGGAUAAACAUCUCAGGCAAUUCAUAAUAGCAUUAUAUGGUAUAGCCCCUUCUGACGGAGAAGUCUUUCAUUUCUUUGUCUUUGGCAUUCGCGUCGGUGUUCACCUUCGCGAAGAUUGCCACCACCUUGUCGAUGCACCAGAUAAUAUUGCUAUCUCCAUAGCGUAUAAAAUUAAUGCAUUACUUAAGGUUGACACGCAGGUCAUUAAAGUGCAAUCAUAUGGCUCCAGCCAUCAUGCCGAAUCAUGACAUGCAUGUCAUGUUAAUUACAUUAUAUAAUCAUCUCAUACAUAAUCAAAUUAUUAUGAGCACUGCUAUACCACAUCACAUGCACAUGCAAACCCUCCUGCAAAACCAAGUUAGACGCCUCUAAUCGGUUCAUGCAAAAACUUGUUUUUCGUGGCUUCUAAGGUUUCGAAACAAACCGAAGCUACCAACGUCCAUCAUCAAGUAUGAUAAUUCAAGUCGCUAGAUUAACUUUGCGGGGUGUAUGAAACACGAGAUAAUAAAAUAUCGAGCCCCAUACUGAACUUCGUCAUACUCAUGACCCCCAUGCAGAUCAUAUCUGCAUUGGCCUUUUGUCUGCGAAAUUUCAUCUUUCUUUCUAACUAUGGUGGAUUUCGACAAACUAUUAGCACUUCGUUGAUCAAUCAGGAUUGCGGAUUGCCAGAACAUUGAAAAUCCACCAUGCCGUUAUCAAGAUCAGAUAUAUGCAAAUUCCAGGGAAGAAACAAGAACAUCGGGUAACAGAUUUCAUCUGCUACCCGCACAAAUAAUUUUCAGUAAUAGAACUCAUCUACUACAAAUUAUAUUAUGCAACACCCAUACAUCUCUAUGUAUUCUAGAUCACAACCUGCAUCUACGCAUAGCACGGCCCUUGAUGCCACUGUUGGGUAACACAGUAGAAAACAAAAAAAUUCCGACCUACGCACCAGCCCAGGACCACUAUGGAGACUGCAUACAUUGUUUGAUCUUUUUCGUUACCGACUCGUAGCGCAGCGGAAGUAGAGUCUAUGAUGAACGGCGGUGCAGAUCCCCGCAGCUAGGAUUUACAACCUCCCAACCGUGAGGAUGUAUACCCUCAUCCGCCCCACGAACAGCCCUCAGGGAGGCGGUCGGACAGUCCCUCAUACGGUGUCGCAGACAGCCCUUCGGGAGGAGUGAUGACCCACAAGUAUAGGGGAUCUAUCAUAGUCCUUUCGAUAAGUAAGAGUGUCGAACCCAACGAGGAGCAGAAGGAAAUGAUAAGCGGUUUCCAGUAAGGUAUUCUCUGUAAGUACUGAAAUAAGUGGUAACAGAUAGUUUUGUGAUAGGAUGAUUUGUAACGAGCAACAAGUAACAAAGGUAAAUAAAGUGCAGCAAGGUGGACCAAUCCUUUUUGUAGCAAAGGACAAGCCUGGACAAACUCUUAUAUAAAGAAAAGCGCUCCCGAGGACACAUGGGAAUAUCGUCAAGCUAGUUUUCAUCACGCUCAUGUGAUUCGUGUUUGGUACUUUGAUAAUUUGGUAUGUGGGUGUACCGGUGCUUGGGUACUGCCCUUACUUGGACAAGCAUCCCACUUAUGAUUAAGCUCUAUUGCAAGCAUCCACAACUACAACAAAAGUAUUAAGGUAAACCUAACCAUAGCACGAAACAUAUGGAUCCAAAUCAGCCCCUUACGAAGCAACGCAUAAACUAGGGUUUAAGCUUCUGUCACUCUAGCAACCCAUCAUCUACUUAUUACUUCCCAAUGCCUUCCUCUAGGCCCAAAUAAUGGUGAAGUGUCAUGUAGUCUACGUUCACAUAACACCACUAGAGGAGAGACAACAUACAUCUCAUCAAAAUAUCGAACGAAUACCAAAUUCACAUGACUACUAAUAGCAAGAAUUCUCCCAUGUCCUCAGGAACAAACGUAACUACUCACAAAGCAUAAACAUGUUCAUAAUCAGAGGGGUAUUAAUGUGCCUAUAGGAUCUGAACAUAUGAUCUUCCACCAAUUAAACCAACUAGCAUCAACUACAAGGAGUAAUUAACACUACUAGCAACCUACUAGCACCAAUCCCGGACUUGGAGACAAGAAUUGGAUACAAGAGAUGAACUAGGGUUUUGAGAGGAGAUGGUGCUGAUGAAGAUGUUGAUGGAGAUUGCCCUCUCCCGAUGAGAGGACCGUUGGUGAUGACAAUGGCAAUGAUUUCUGAUACGUCUCCAACGUAUCUAUAAUUUUUGAUUGCUCCAUGCUAUAUUAUCUACCGUUUUGGACUAUAUAUUGGGCUUUAUUUUCCACUUUUAUAUUAUUUUUGGGACUAACCUAUUAACCGGAGGCCCAGCCCAGAAUUGCUGUUUUUUGCCUAUCUCAGUGUUUCGAAGAAACAGAAUAUCAGACGGAGUCCAAACGGAAUAAAAUCUUCGGGAACGUGAUUUUCUCACCGAACGUGAUCCAGGAGACUUGGACCCUGCUCCAAGGAACAAAAGAGGCGGUCACGAGGGUGGGGGGCGCGCCCCCUGCCUCGUGGGCCCCUCGUUGCUCCUCCGGCGUACUUCUUCCUCCUAUAUAUACACACGUACCCCCAAAAGAUCAGAACAGGAGCCAAAAACCUAAUUCCACCGUCGCAACUUUCUGUAUCCACGAGAUCCCAUCUUGGGGCUUGUUCCGGAGCUCCGCCAGAAGAGGGCCGUCAUCACGGAGGGCUUCUACAUCAUCCUAGCCUCUCCAAUGAAGUGUGAGUAGUUUACCUCAGACCUUCGGGUCCAUAGUUAGUAGCUAGAUGGCUUCUUCUCUCUUUUUGGAUCUCAAUACAAUGUUCUCCCCCUCUCUUUUGGAGAUCUAUUCGAUGUAAUCUUCCUCUUUUGCGGUGUGUUUGUUGAGACCGAUGAAUUGUGGGUUUAUGAUCAAGUCUAUCUAUGAACAAUAUUUGAAUCUUCUCUGAAUUCUUUUAUGUAUGAUUGGUUAUCUUUGCAAGUCUCUUCGAAUUAUCCGUUUGGUUUGGCCAACUAGAUUGGUAGUUCUUGCCAUGGGAGAAGUGCUUAGCUUUGGGUUCGAUCUUGCGGUGUUCUUUCCCAGUGACAGAAGGGGCAGCAAGACACAUAUUGUAUCGUUGCCAUCGAGGAUAACAAGAUGGGGUUUAUUUCAUAUUGCAUGACUUUAUCUCUCUACAUCAUGUCAUCUUGCUUAAAGUGUUACUUUGUUUUUAACUUAAUACUCUAGAUGCAUGCUGGAUAGCGGUCGAUGAGUGGAGUAAUAGUAGUAGAUGCAGAAUCGUUUCAGUCUACUUGUCACAGAUGUGAUGCCUAUAUACAUGAUCAUGCCUAGAUAUUCUCAUAACUAUGCUCAAUUCUGUCAAUUGCUCAACAGUAAUUUGUUCACCCACCGUAGAAAACUUAUGCUCUCGAGAGAAGCCACUAGUGAAACCUAUGGCCCCCGGGUCUAUUCUCAUCAUAUCAAUCUCCAUCACUUUUAUAUUGUUUUGCUAUUACUUUGCUUUUACUUUUUACUUUGCAUCUUUAUAUCAAAAAUACCAAAAAUAUUCUAUCUAUCAGAUCUCACUCUCGUAAGUGACCGUGAAGGGCUUGACAACCCCUAAUCGCGUUGGUUGCGGGUAGCUAUCGCUUUGUGCAGGUACGAGGGACUUGAGCGUGGGCUCCUACUGGAUUGAUACCUUGGUUCUCAAAAACUGAGGGAAAUACUUACGCUAAUCUGCUACAUCAUCCCUUCCUCUUUGGGGAAGACCAACGCAAGCUCAAGACGUAGCAAGAAGGAUUUCUGGCGCCGUUGCCGAGGAGUCUACGCAAAAAGUCAACAUACCAAGUACCCAUCACAAUCCCUAUCUCCCGCAUUACAUUAUUUGCCAUUUGCCUCUCGUUUUCCUCUCCCCCCAAUUCACCCUUACUGUUUUAUUCGCCCUCUCUCUCCCUAUCCUCCCUCUCUAUUUGCCUCUUUUUGCCCAUUUUCUUUUGUUUGCUCGUGUGUUAGAUUGCUUGUUUGUCGCGAUGGCUCUACCAAAUUUUGGUGAUCUUCACUUUAAAAGGUUAGAGGAGAUCGAAAACAACGUUAGGAAGUUUAUGGUUUUGCAAUUUGAGCAUAAUAAUUUCUUUAGAAACGAGUUUAAGGAACAAAAGGGUUUUAUGAGUUAUAUGAACAAAGAGCUCGAUGAUAUGUCUAAAGAAUUUGACGGUAUCAGAUCCCAAAUUGCUCGUCUUGAAAAGAUGACUGCUGAAAUUUCGAACAUGCAAGCUACCUUAGUCAAUAAGAUGGCCGCAAAACCGAAUACCUAUGAAAAUCAAGAUGAAGAUCUAAAAGUUAUUGAUGUAUCCCCUAUCAAAUCUUUGUUCUGCAAUAUGAAUCUUGAUGAAACUGAAUAUGAUCUUCCUUUACCUAGAAGGCGUUCCAAAAAUUCGGAGUAUUUAGAUCUUUAUGAUGAAAUUGACGAAAGUGGGAUUGAAAGAAAUAAAAAUUUAGAUGUUGCUAAACCCACUAUAUUGUAUUUCAAGGAAUUUAAUUAUGAAAGAUGCUCUUUGAUUGAUUGUAUUUCUUUGUUGCAAUCCGUGCUAAAUUCUCCGCAUGCUUAUAGUCAAAAGAAAGCCUUCACCGAACAUAUUGUUGAUGCCUUGAUGCAAUCUUAUGAAGAAAAACUUGAGUUGAAAGUCUCUAUACCUAUAAAACUCUAUGAUGAGUGGGAACCAACUAUCAAAAUUAAAAUUAAAAUCAUGAGUUUUAUGCUUUGUGUGAUUUGGGUGCUAGUGUCUCCACUAUCCCCAAAACUUUGUGUGAUUUGCUAGAUUUCCGCAAUCUUGAUGCUUGCUCCCUAAACUUGCAUAUUGCGGAUUCCACUAUUAAGAAACCUAUGGGAAGAAUUAAUUAUGUUCUUAUUGUUGCAAACAGGAAUUAUGUGCCCAUAGAUUUCAUUGUUCUUGAUAUAGAUUGCAAUCCUUCUUGCCCUGUUAUUCUUCGUAGACCUUUCCUUAGAACGGUUGGUGCGAUUAUUGAUAUGAAGGAAGGGGAUAUUAGAUUUCAAUUUCCAUUAAAAUAGGGCAUGGAACAUUUUCCAAGAAAGAAAAUAAAAUUUCCAUAUGAAACCAUCAUGAGAGCCACUUAUGGAUUGCCUUCCAAAGAUGGCAAUACCUAGAUCUAUCCUCGUUUUUAUGCCUAGCUAGGGGCGUUAAACGAUAACGCUUGUUGGGAGGAAACCCAAUUUUAUUUUUAUUCCUUGCUUUUUGCUCCUGUUUAGUAAUAAAUAAAUUAUUUAUCCUCUGUUUUGGUUGUGUUUUUUGUGUUUAAUUAGUGUUUGUGCCAAGUAGAACCGUUGGGAAGACUUGGGGAAAGUCUUGUUGAACUUGCUGUAAAAAACAGAAACAUUAGCGCUCACAAGAACUGCUGUCAUUUUUAUUUGAAGAGUGAUAUUUAGUUAAUUCCUUUUGCAGAUGAUUAAUAGAUAAAUUCCUCACGUCCAGAAAUUCAUUUUAGAAUUUUUGGGGUUCCAUAUAUUGCGCUAGCUACAGAUUACUACAGACUGUUCUGUUUUUGACAGAUUCUGUUUUUCGUGUGUUGUUUGCUUAUUUUGAUGAAUCUAUGGCUAGUAAAAUAGUUUAUGAUCCAUAGAUAAGUUGGAAUACAGUAUAUUUAACACCAAUAUAAAUAAAUAAUGAGUUCAUUACAGUACCUUGAAGUGGUCUUUUGUUUUCUUUCGCUAACGGAGCUCACGAGUUUUCUAUUUUGAGUUUUGUGUUGUGAAGUUUUCAAGUUUUGGGUGAGUUCUUUUGAUGGAUUAUGGAACAAGGAGUGGCAAGAACCUAAGCUUGGGGAUGCCCAUGGCACCCCCAAGAUAAUCCAAGGACACCAAAAAGUAAAAUCUUGGGGAUGCCACGGAAGGCAUCCCCUCUUUCGUCCACUUCCAUCGGUAAUUUACUUGGAGCUAUAUUUUUAUUCACCAACAUGAUAUGUGUUUUGCUUAGAGCGUCUUGUAUUAUUUGUGUCUUUGUUUUUUAGUAUGCCACAAUCAUCCUUGUUGUACACACCUUUUGAGAGAGUCAUCUAUGAAUUAAAAUUUGAUAGAAUACUCUAUGUGCUUCACUUAUAUCUUUUGAGCUAUGUAGUUUUCUCUACAUACUUCACUUAUAUCUUUUGAGCGUUAUAAUUUUUCUCUAUGUGCUUCACUUAGAUAUUUUAGAGCACAGUGGUGUUUUGUUUUAAAGAAACUAUUGAUCUCUCAUGCUUCACUUAAAUUAUUUUGAGAGUCUUAAUAGCAUGGUAAUUUGCUUAAUAUAAAUAUGCUUGGUGUUCAAGAUAUGUGAAAUUUUCUGAGUGCGUUGAAUACUAAGAGAAGAUUGAAGCAUGAUAAUUGUUUUGAGAUAUGGAAGUGAUAAUAUUAGAGUUAUGCUAGUUUAGUAGUUGUGAAUUUAAAGAAUAGUUGUGUUAAAGUUUGUGAUUCCCGUAGCAUGCACGUAUGGUGAACCGUUAUGUGAUGAAGUCGGAGCAUAAUUUAUUUAUUUAUUGUCUUCCUUAUGAGUGGCGGUCGGGGAUGAGCAAUGGUCUUUUCCUACCAAUCUAUACCCCUAGGAGCAUGCGCGUAAUACUUUUCUUUGAUAACUUCUAGAUUUUUGCAAUAAGUAUAUGAGUUCUUUAUGACUAAUGUUGAGUCCAUGGAUUAUAUGCACUUUUUCCCAUCCUUCCACCAUUGCUAGCCUCUCUAAUACCGCGCACCUUUCGCCGGUAUCAUACACCCACCAUAUACCUUCCUCAAAACAGCCACCAUACCUACCUAUCAUGUCAUUUCCAUAGCCAUUCCGAGAUAUAUUGCCAUGCAACUUUCCAGCGUUUCGUUUAUUAUGACACGCUCCAUCAUUGUCAUAUUGCUAGCAUGAUCAUGUAGUUGACAUCGUAUUUGUGGCAAAGCCACCAUUCAUAAUUCUUUCAUACAUGUCACUCUUGAUUCAUUGCAUCUCCCGGUACACUGCCGGAGGCAUUCAUAUAGAGUCAUAUUUGUUCUAAGUAUCGAGUUGUAAUUGUUGAGUUGUAAGAAAAAUAAAAGUGUGAUGAUCAUCAUUUUCUAGAGCAUUGUCCCAAGUGAGGAAAGGAUGAUGGAGACUAUGAUUCCCCCAUAAGUCGGGAUGAGACUCCGGACGAAAAAUAAAUAAAAGAGGCCAAAGAAGCCCAAAAAAAGAGAGAAAGAAAAGAGGCCAUAAAAAAAGAAGAAAAGGCCCAACUAAAAAAAUAAAAAAAAUUGAGAGAAAAAGAGAGAAGGGACAAUGUUACUAUCCUUUUACCACAAUUGUGCUUCAAAGUAGCACCAUGAUCUUCAUAGUAGAGAGUCUCUCAUGUUAUCACUUUCAUAUACUAGUGGGAAUCUUCCAUUAUAGAACUUGGCUUGUAUAUUCCAAUGAUGGGCUUCCUCAAAUUGCCCUAGGUCUUCAUGAGCAAGCAAGUUGGAUGCACACCCACUUAGUUUCUUUUUGAGCUUUCAUAUACUUAUAGCUCUAGUGCAUCCGUUGCAUGGCAAUCCCUACUCACUCACAUUGAUAUCUAUUGAUGGGCAUCUCCAUAGCCCGUUGAUACGCCUAGUUGAUGUGAGACUAUCUUCUCAUUUUUGUCUUCUCCACAACCACCAUUCUAUUCCACCUAUAGUGCUAUAUCCAUGGCUCACGCUCAUGUAUUGCGUGAAGAUUGAAAAGGUUUUGAAAAAGUUAGAGUAUGAAACAAUUGCUUGGCUUGUCAUCGGAGUUGUGCAUGAUUUAAAUACUUUGUGUGGUGAAGAUAGAGCAUAGCCAGACUAUGAUUUUGUAGGGAUAACUUUCUUUGGCCAUGUUAUUUCGAGAAGACAUAAUUACUUUAUUAGUAUGCUUGAAGUGUUAUUAUUCUUUAUGUCAAUAUGAACUUUUGUCUUGAAUCUUUCUAAUCUGAAUAUCCAUACCACCAUUAAGAAAUUUUGCAUUGAAAUUAUGCCAAGUAGCACUCCGCAUCAAAAAUUCUCUUUUUAUCAUUUACCUACUCGAGGACGAGCAGGAAUUAAGCUUGGGGAUGCCUGAUACGUCUCCAACGUAUCUAUAAUUUUUGAUUGCUCCAUGCUAUAUUAUCUACUGUUUUGGACUAUAUAUUGGGCUUUAUUUUCCACUUUUAUAUUAUUUUUGGGACUAACCUAUUAACCGAAGGCCCAGCCCAGAAUUGCUGUUUUUUUUUUGCCUAUUUCAGUGUUUCGAAGAAACAGAAUAUCAGACGGAGUCCAAACGGAAUAAAAUCUUCGGGAACGUGAUUUUCUCACCGAACGUGAUCCAGGAGACUUGGACCCUGCUCCAAGGAACAAAAGAGGCGGUCACGAGGGUGGGGGCGCGCCCCCCUGCCUCGUGGGCCCCUCGUUGCUCCUCCGGCAUACUUCUUCCUCCUAUAUAUACACACGUACCCCCAAACGAUCAGAACAGGAGCCAAAAACCUAAUUCCACCGCCGCAACUUUCUGUAUCCACGAGAUCCCAUCUUGGGGCCUGUUCCGGAGCUCCACCGGAAGAGGGUCGUCAUCACGGAGGGCUUCUACAUCAUCCUAGCCUCUCCGAUGAAGUGUGAGUAGUUUACCUCAGACCUUCGGGUCCAUAGUUAGUAGCUAGAUGGCUCCUUCUCUCUUUUUGGAUCUUAAUACAAUGUUCUCCCCCUCUCUUGUGGAGAUCUAUUCGAUGUAAUCUUCCUCUUUUGCGGUGUGUUUGUUGAGACCGAUGAAUUGUGGGUUUAUGAUCAAGUCUAUCUAUGAACAAUAUUUGAAUCUUCUCUGAAUUCUUUUAUGUAUGAUUGGUUAUCUUUGCAAGUCUCUUCGAAUUAUCCGUUUGGUUUGGCCAACUAGAUUGGUAGUUCUUGCCAUGGGAGAAGUGCUUAGCUUUGGGUUCGAUCUUGCGGUGUUCUUUCCCAGUGACAGAAGGGGCAGCAAGACACGUAUUGUAUCGUUGCCAUCGAGGAUAACAAGAUGGGGUUUAUUUCAUAUUGCAUGAAUUUAUCUCUCUACAUCAUGUCAUCUUGCUUAAAGUGUUACUCUGUUUUUAACUUAAUACUCUAGAUGCAUGCUGGAUUGCGGUCGAUGAGUGGAGUAAUAGUAGUAGAUGCAGAAUCCUUUCGGUCUACUUGUCACGGACGUGAUGCUAUAUACAUGAUCAUGCCUAGAUAUUCUCAUAACUAUGCUCAAUUCCAUCAAUUGCUCAAUAGUAAUUUGUUCACCCACCGUAGAAAACUUAUGCUCUCGAGAGAAGCCACUAGUGAAACCUAUGGCCCCCGGGUCUAUUCUCAUCAUAUCAAUCUCCAUCACUUUUAUAUUGUUUUGCUAUUACUUUGCUUUUACUUUUUACUUUGCAUCUUUAUAUCAAAAAUACCAAAAAUAUUCUAUCUAUCAGAUCUCACUCUCGUAAGUGAUCGUGAAGGGCUUGACAACCCCUAAUCGCGUUUGUUGCGGGUAGCUAUCGCUUUGUGCAGGUACGAGGGACUUGAGCGUGGGCUCCUACUGGAUUGAUACCUUGGUUCUCAAAAACUGAGGGAAAUACUUACGCUACUCUGCUGCAUCAUCCCUUCCUCUUCAGGGAAAACCAACGCAAGCUCAAGACGUAGCAAUUUCCCCCUCCGGGAGGGAAGAUUCCCCGGCAGAACAGCUCCACUAGAACCCUAGAUUUGUUCUGCCAAAGUUCCGCCUCGUGGCGGUAGAGCUUCGUCCGAGAAGAUGGCUUGUUAUUUUUUUCCCAUCGAAAGACUUCAUAUAGCAGAAGAUGGUCUCCGGAGGGCCACCAGGGGGCCCACGAGGUAGGGGGGCGCGCCCAGGGGGUAGGGCGCGCCCCCACCCUCGUGGGCAGGGUGUGGCCCCCUGGUGAAGUUCUUGCUCUCAGUAUUUUUUAUAUAUUUGGAAAACGUCUUCCGUGGAGUUUCAGGACUUUUGGAGCUGUGUAGAAUAGGUCUCUAAUAUUUGCUCCUUUUCCUGCCAAGAAUCUCAGCUGCCGGCAUUCUCCCUCUUUAUGUAAACCUUGUGAAAUAAGAGAGAAUAGGCAUAAGUAUUGUGACAUAAUGUGUAAUAACAGCCCAUAACGCAAUAAAUAUCGAUAUAAAAGCAUGAUGCAAAAUGGACGUAUUGAUGUCUACUACACAACCUUCUUCUUGUAGACGUUGUUGGGCCUCCAAGUGCAGAGGUUUGUAGGACAGUAGCAAAUUCCCUCAAGUGGAUGUCCUAAGGUUUAUCAAUCCGUAGGAGGCGUAGGAUGAAGAUGGUCUCUCUCAAGCAACCCUGCAACCAAAUAACAAAGAGUCUCUUGUGUUCCCAACACACCCAAUACAAUGGUAAAUUGUAUAGGUGCACUAGUUCGGCGAAGAGAUGGUGAAACAAGUGGUAUAUGGAUAGUAGAUAAAGGUAUUUGUAAUCUGAAAUUAUAAAAACAACAAGGUAACGAAUGAUAAAAGUGAGCGUAAACGGUAUUGCAAUGUGUUGAAACAAGGCCUAGGGUUCAUACUUUCGCUAGUGUAAGUUCCCUCAACAAUACUAACAUAAUUGGAUCACAUAACUAUCCCUCAACAUGCAACAAAGAGUCACUCUAGAGUCACUAAUAGCGGAGAACAAACGAAGAGAUUAUGGUAGGGUAUGAAACCACCUCAAAGUUAUUCUUUCCAAUCAACCCGUUGGGCUAUUCCUAUAAGUUUCACAAACAGCCCUAGAGUUCGUACUAGAAUAACACCUUAAGACACAAAUCAACCAAAACCCUAAUAUCACCUAGAUACUCCAAUGUCACCUCAAGUAUCCGUGGGUAUGAUUAUACGAUAUGCAUCACACAAUCUUAGAUUCAUCUAUUCAACUAACACAAAGGACCUCAAAGAGUGCCCCAAAGUUUCUACCGGAGAAUCACGACGAAAACGUGUGCCAACCCCUAUGCAUAGGUUCCCAAUGUCACGAAACCCGCAAGUUGAUCACCUUAACAUACAUCAAGUGGCACGUGGUAUCCCAUUGUCACCACAGAUAUCCACGGCAAGACAUACAUCAAGUGUUCUCAAGUCUUUAAAGACUCAAUACGAUAAGAUUACUUCAAAGGGGAAACUCAAUUCAUUACAAGAGAGAAGAGGGGGAGGAGAAACAUAAGAUCCAACUAUAAUAGCAAAGCUCGCGAUACAUCAAGAUCGUGCCAAAUCAAGAACAUGAGAGAGAGAGAUCAAACACAUAGCUACUGGUACAUACCCUCAGCCCCGAGGGAGAACUACUCCCUCCUCGUCAUGGACAGCACCGGGAUGAUGAAGAUGGCCACCGGUGAGGGUUCCCCCCUCCGACAGGGUGCCGGAAUAGGGUCCCGAUUGGUUUUUGGUGGCUACGGAGGCUUCUGGCGGCGGAACUCCCGAUCUAUGUUGCAUUUUGGAAGUUUUAGGGUAUAUGGAGUUAUAUAGGCAGAAGAAGCACGUCAGGGGAGCCACGGGGGCCCCACGAGGCAGGGGGCGCACCCUAGGGGGGGCGCCCCCACCCUCGUGGGCAGCUCCCAUAUCUUCUGACGUGGGGUCCAAGUCCAUCAGGUGUGUUUCCUUCCAAAAAUAACUUCUCCAGUUGAUUUUGUUCCGUUUCGACUCAGUCUGAUAUUCCUUUUCUUCAAAACACUGAAAUAGGCAUAAAACAGCAAAUCUGGGUUGGGCCUCCAGUUAAUAGGUUAGUCCCAAAAGUAAUAUAAAAGUGGAAAAUAAAGCCCAGUAUUGCCCAAAACAGUAGAUAAUAUAGCAUGGAGCAAUCAAAAAUUAUAGAUACGUUGGAGACGUAUCAAGCAUCCCCAAGCUUAAUUCCUGCUCGUCCUCGAGAAGGUAAAUGAUAAAAAAGAUAAUUUUUGAUGUGGAAUGCUAGUUGGCAUAAUUUCAAUGUAACUCUUCUUAAUUGUGGCAUGAAUAUUCAGAUCCAUAAGAUUCAAGAAAAAAGUUCAUAUUGACAUAAAAAUAAUAAUACUUCAAGCAUACUAACUAAGCAAUCAUGUCUUCUCAAAAUAACAUGGCCAAAGAACGUUAUCCCUACAAAAUCAUAUAGUCUGGCUAUGCUCCAUCUUCACCACACAAAAUAUUUAAAUCAUGCACAACCCUGAUGACAAGCCAAGCAAUUGUUUCAUACUUUUGAUGUUCUCAAACUUUUUCAAUCUUCACGCAAUACAUGAGCGUGAGCCAUGGAUAUAGCACUAUAGGUGGAAUAGAAUGGUGGUUGUGGAGAAGACAAAAUGGGAGAAGAUAGUCUCACAUCAACUAGGUGUAUCAACGGGCUAUGGAGAUGCCCAUCAAUAGAUAUCAAUGUGAGUGAGUAGGGAUUGCCAUGCAACGGAUGCACUAGAGCUAUACGUAUAUGAAAGCUCAACAAAAGAAACUAGUGGGUGUGCAUCCAACUCGCUUGCUCACGAAGACCUAGGGCAUUUUGAGGAAGCCCAUCAUUGGAAUAUACAAGCCAAGUUCUCUAAUGAAAGAUUCCCACUAGUAUAUGAAAGUGACAACAUAGGAGACUCUCUAUCAUGAAGAUCAUGGUGCUACUUUGAAGCACAAGUGUGGUAAAAGGAUAGUAGCAUUGCCCCCCCUUUUUUGGCCUUUAUUUUUUUGGCCUUUUUUUAUUUGGCCUUUCUUUUUUUAUUUGGCCCUUUUUUUAUUGGGACAAUGCUCUAUUGAAUGAUGAUCAUCACACUUCUAUUUAUUUACAACUUGAUGAUACAACUCGAUACUAGAACAAAGAUGACUCUAUAUGAAUGCCUCCGGCGGUGUACCGGGAUGUGAAAUGACUCAUGAGUGACAUGUAUGAAAGAAUUAUGAAUGGUGGCUUUGCCACAAAUACAAUGUCAACUACAUGAUCAUGCUAAGCAAUAUGACAAUGAUGAAGCGUGUCAUAAUAAACGGAACGGUGGAAAGUUGCAUGGCAAUAUAUCUCGGAAUGGCUAUGGAAAUGGCAUAAUAGGUAGGUAUGGUGGCUGUUUUGAGGAAGGUAUAUGGUGGGUUUAUGGUACCGGCCAAAAUUGCGCGGUACUAGAGAGGCUAGCAAUGGUGGAAGGGUGAGAGUGCGUAUAAUCCAUGGACUCAACAUUAGUCAUAAAAGAACUCACAUACUUAUUGCAAAAAUCCAUUAGUCAUCGAAACAAAGUACUACGCGCAUGCUCCUAGGGGGAUAGAUUGGUAGGAAAAGACCAUCGCUCAUCCCCGACCGCCACUCAUAAGGAAGGCAAUCAAUAAAUAAAUCAUGCUCCGACUUCGUCACAUAACGGUUCACCAUACGUGCAUGCUACGGGAAUCACAAAAUUCAACACAAGUAUUUCUCAAAUUCACAACUAGUCAACUAGCAUGACUCUAAUAUUACCAUCCUCAUAUCUCAAAACAAUCAUCAAGUAUCAAACUUCUCUUAGUAUUCAACACACUCAUAAGAGAAUUUUAUUAUUAAUCUUGUAUACCUAGCAUAUUAGGAUUUUAAUAAAAUUACCAUGCUAUUUAAGACUCUCAAAAUAAUAUAAGUGAAUCAUGAGAGUUCAUCUAUUUCUUCAAAAUAAAACUACCACCGUGCUCUAAACGAUAUAAGUGAAGCACUAGAGCAAAUAACAAACUACUCAGAAAGAUAUAAGUGAAGAUCAAUGAGUAGUAGAAUAAUUAUGCAACUAUGUGAAGAAUCUCUAACAUUUAAUCAUUUCAGAUCUUGGUAUUCUAUUCAAACAGAAAGCAAAGCAAAAUAAAAUUACAUUCUAAGAAUGGAAACAUCAUGUGAAGAAGCAAAAACUUAGGAUCAAUCGAUACUAACCGAUAAUUGUUGAAGAAGAAAGGUGGGAUGCCAACCAGGGAAUCCCAAGCUUAGACGCUUGAGAAUUCUUGAAAUAUUAUCUUGGGGUGCCUUGGGCAUCCCCAAGCUUGAGAUUUUGUGUCUCCUUAAUUCCUCUCAUAUCACGGUCUCCCUAAAUCUCAAAAGCUUCAUCCACACAAAACUCAACAAGGACUCGUGAGAUAAGUUAGUAUAAACCAUUGCAAAAACCUUAUCAUACUAUAAUGUAGCAAAUCACUAAAAUUAUUAUUCAACAUUGCAUACUAAAUGCCUCUGCACAUUUAAUAGUCCUAUCCUCAAAUAGAAUCAUUAAAGAAGCAAGCAUAUGCAAACAAUGCAAACAUAACAGCAAUCUUCCUAAACAGAAUAGUCCGUAAAGAAUGAUGCAACAUCCAUACUUCCCUAGCUCCAAAAAUUAUGAAAGAAAAUUACAACUGUAGUAAAUUUAUCAGAGCUUAAUAUGCAAAAGGUUUCAACAUUUUAUCACAUUCUGACUUUUCCAGGGAAUUAUUGCAACAGCGGUAAACAUUAUGUUUUCAAACAGCAACAUGUGGACUUCUAAAAUAGGCAUAGUAAAGGCUAUCAAUGCCACUUUUAUUGAAAUAAAAGAUGCAAAACAUUGUUCUAAAUAACAGCAAGAAAAUCCUAACAAAAUAAAUUGACGCUCCAAGCAAAACACAUAUCAUGUGGUGAAUAAAAAUAUAGCUCCAAGUAAAGUCACCGAUGAACGAAGACGAAAGAGGGGAUGCCUUCCGGGGCAUCCCCAAGCUUAGGCUCUUGGCUAUACUUGAAUAUUACCUUGGGGUGCCUUGGGCAUCCCCAAGCUUAGGCUCUUGCCACUCCUUAUUCCAUAGUCCAUCGAAUCUUUACCCAAAACUUGAAAACUUCACAACACAAAACUCAAAAUAGAAAACUCGUGAGCUCCGUUAGCGAAAGAAAACAAAAGACCACUUCAAGGUACUAUAAUGGACUCAUUAUUUAUUUAUAUGGGUGUUAUACCUACUGUAUUCCAACUUCUCUAUGGUUUAUAAACUAAUUUACUAGCCAUAGAUUCAUCAAAAUAAGCAAACAACACACGCAAAACAGAAUCUGUCAAAAACAGAACAGUCUGUAGUAAUCUGGAUCAAACGUAUACUUCUGGAACUCAUAAAAUUCUAAAAUAAAUUGCUGGACCUGAGGAAUUUAUCUAUUAAUCAUAUGAAAAAAUAAUUAACUAAAUAUCACUCUCCAAAUAAAAAUGGCAGCAAUUUUCGUGAGCACUAAAGUUUCUGUUUUUGACAGCAUGAUCAACAAGACGUUCCCCAAGUCUUCGCAAAGGUUCUACUUGGCACAAACACUAAUUAAACACAUAAAACCACAUCUAAACAGAGUCUAGAUGAAUUAUUUAUUACUAAACAGUAACAAAAAGCAAGGAACUAAAAUAAAAUUGGGUUGCCUCCCAACAAGCGCUAUCGUUUAAUGCCCCUAGCUAGGCAUGAUGAUUUCAACGAUGCUCACAUAAAAGAUAAGAAUUGAAACAUAAAGAGGGAAUCAUGAAGAAUAUGACUAGCACAUUUAAGUCUAACAUGCUUCCUAUGCAUAGGGAUUUUGUGAACAAACAACUUGUGGGAACAAGAAUCAACUUGCAUAGGAAAGCAAAACAAGCACAAGUUCAAGAUUUUCAACACAUAGAGAGGAAAGUUGAUAUUAUUGCAAUUCCUACAAGCAUAAGUUCCUCCCUCGUAAUAAUUUUCAGUAGCAUCAUGAAUGAAUUCAACAAUAUAACCAGCACCUAAAGCAUUCUUUUCAUGAUCUACAAGCAUAGAAAAUUUACUACUCUCCACACAAGCAAAAUUCUUCUCAUGAAUAAUAGUGGGAGCAAACUCAACAAAAUAAUUAUCAUGUGAGGCAUAAUCCAAUUGAAAACUAAAAUCAUGAUGACAAUUUUCAUGGUUAUCAUUAUUAUUUAAAGCAUACGUGUCAUCACAAUAAUCAUCAUAGAUAGGAGGCAUGCUUUCAUCAUAAUAAAUUUGCUCAUCAAAACUUGGGGGACAAAAAAUAUCAUCUUCAUCAAACAUAGCUUCCCCAAGCUUGUGGCUUUGCAUAUCAUUAGCAUCAUGGAUAUUCAAGGAAUUCAUACUAACAACUUGCAAUCAUUCUCAUCAUUCAAAUAUUUAGUGCCAAACAUUUUAUAGAUUUCUUCUUGUAGCACUUGAGCACAAUUAUCCUUUCCAUCAUACUCACGAAAGAUAUUAAAAAGGUGAAGCGUAUGAGACAAACUCAAUUCCAUUUUUUUAUAGUUUUCUUUUAUAGACAAAACUAGUGAUAAAACAAGAAAUUAAAAGACUCGAUUGCAAGAUAUAAAGAUAUACCUUCAAGCGCUAACCUCCCCGGCAACGGCGCCAGAAAAGAGCUUGAUGUCUACUACACAACCUUCUUCUUGUAGACAUUGUUGGGCCUCCAAGUGCAGAGGUUUGUAGGACAGUAGCAAAUUUCCCUCAAGUGGAUGACCUAAGGUUUAUCAAUCUGUAGGAGGCAUAGGAUGAAGAUGGUCUCUCUCAAGCAACCCUGCAACCAAAUAACAAAGAGUCUCUUGUGUUCCCAACACACCCAAUACAAUGGUAAAUUUAUAGGUGCACUAGUUCGGCGAACAGAUGGUGAAACAAGUGGUAUAUGGAUAGUAGAUAAAGGUAUUUGUAAUCUGAAAUUAUAAAAACAGCAAGGUAACGAAUGAUAAAAGUGAGCGUAAACGGUAUUGCAAUGUGUUGAAACAAGGCCUAGGGUUCAUACUUUCGCUAGUGUAAGUUCCCUCAACAAUACUAACAUAAUUGGAUCACAUAACUAUCCCUCAACAUGCAACAAAGAGUCACUCCAAAGUCACUAAUAGCGGAGAACAAAUGAAGAGAUUAUGGUAGGGUAGGAAACCACCUCAAAGUUAUUCUUUCCAAUCAAUCCGUUGGGCUAUUCCUAUAAGUGUCACAAACAGCCCUAGAGUUCGUACUAGAAUAACACCUUAAGACACAAAUCAACCAAAACCCUAAUGUCACCUAGAUACUCCAAUGUCACCUCAAGUAUCCGUGGGUGUGAUUAUAUGAUAUGCAUCACACAAUCUCAGAUUCAUCUAUUCAACCAACACAAAGGACCUCAAAGAGUGCCCCAAAGUUUCUACCGGAGAAUCACGACGAAAACGUGUGCCAACCCCUAUGCAUAGGUUCCCAAUGUCACGAAACCCGCAAGUUGAUCACCUUAACAUACAUCAAGUGGCACGUGGUAUCCCAUUGUCACCACAGAUAUCCACGGCAAGACAUACAUCAAGUGUUCUCAAGUCUUUAAAUACUCAAUACGAUAAGAUUACUUCAAAGGCGAAACUCAAUUCAUUACAAGAGAGAAGAGGGGGAGGAGAAACAUAAGAUCCAACUAUAAUAGCAAAGCUUGCGAUACAUCAAGAUCGUGCCAAAUCAAGAACACGAGAAAGAGAGAUCAAACACAUAGCUACUGGUACAUACCCUCAGCCCCGAGGGAGAACUACUCCCUCCUCGUCAUGGACAGCACCGGGAUCAUGAAGAUGGCCACCGGUGAGGGUUCCCCCCUCCGGCAGGGUGCCGGAACAGGGUCCCGAUUGGUUUUUGGUGGCCACGGAGCCUUCUGGCGGCGGAGCUCCCGAUCUAUGUUGCGUUCUGGAAGUUUUAGGGUAUAUGGAGUUAUAUAGGCAGAAGAAGCACGUCAGGGGAGCCACGGGGGCCCCAUGAGGCAGGGGGCGCGCCCUAGGAGGGCCCCACCCUCGUGGGCAGCUCCCGUAUCUUCUGACGUGGGGUCCAAGUCCAUCAGGUGUGUUUCCUUCCAAAAAUAACUUCUCCAGUUGAUUUCAUUCCGUUUCGACUCCGUCUGAUAUUCCUUUUCUUCAAAACACUGAAAUAGGCAUAAAACAACAAAUCUGGGCUGGGCCUCCGGUUAAUAGGUUAGUCCCAAAAGUAAUAUAAAAGUGGAAAAUAAAGCCCAGUAUCGCCCAAAAUAGUAGAUAAUAUAGCAUGGAGCAAUCAAAAAAUUAUAGAUACGUUGGGGACGUAUCACAUAUCAACUCCCCCAAGCUUAGACCUCGCUUGUCCUCAAGCGAAAAGCCGAAAUCGAAAAAUAUGUCCUCAUGUUUAGAGAUAGAGGUGUAGAUAAAAAUAAAAUACGGACAUGAGGGCAUCAUGAUCAUUCUUAGAACAACAACUUAUAUAAUUCUUGUCAUAUGAUUUCUUAUGCUAGAGUAAUAAUUGAAUCACAUUCUUAAGUAUGAAUAGUAAACUUCAUUGAAAACUAACAAACUAUGAUCUCAGUCAUUGGAGCAAUUGCAAUUUAUCAUAACAUAGGAAAGAGUCAAUGUAUAAGAGCUUUUCAGCAAGUCCACAUACUCAACUAUCAUAUAGUCUUUCACAAUUGCUGACACUCACGCAAUACUUAUGGGUAUGGAGUUUUAAUCGGACACAGAGAAAGAUAGGGGCUUAUAAUUUUGCCUCCCAACGUUUUACCUCAAGGGUAAUGUCAACAAUAAUAGUUCAUGAAAACUCACAUCCAAUUAGCCAUAUAUACCAGGAUCUUUCCAACAUACUGUGCUUGCCAAAGGAUAAAAUGUAAAAAAGGAAGGGUGAAGAUCACAAUGACUCUUAUGCAAGGUAGGAGAUAAAAGUAAAAGAUAGGCCCUUCGUAGAGGGAAGCAGAGGUUGUCAUGCGCUUUUAUGGUUGGAUGCACAAAAUCUUAAUGUGAAAGAACGUCACUUUAUAUUGCCACUUGUGAUAUGGACCUUUAUUAUGCCGUCUAUCACUUUUGUUUCUUCCAUAUCACACGAUCGUAUAAAGCUUAUUUUCUCCCACAAUAGUAAGUCAUACAUAUUUAGAGAGCAAUUUUUAUUGCUUGCACCGAUGACAACUUACUUGGAGGAUCUUACUCAAUCCAUAGGUAAGUAUGGUGGACUCUGAUGGCAAAACUGGUUUAAGGGUAUUUGGAAGCACAAGUAGUAUCUCUACUUGGUGCGAUGAAUUUGGCUAGCACGAGGGGGAAAGGCAAGCUCAACCAUGUUGGAUGAUCCAUGACAAUAUAAUUUAUCUCAUAUGUAAGAAAACAUAACCCAUUACGUUGUCUUCCUUGUCCAACGUCAACUCUUUUAGCAUGUCAUAUUUUAAUGAGUGCUCACAAUCAUAAAAUAUGUCCAAGAUAGUAUAUCUAUAUGUGAAGACCUCUCUUUCUUUAUUACUUCCUAUUAAUUGCAACGAUGACCAAAAAUAUGUUUGUCAACCCUCAACAACUUUUAUUCAUCAAACUUUUCUAUGUGAGCUCAUUACUCUCCAUAAGACUCACAUGAUCUCUUUGUUUCUUUUUAUUUCUUUCUCUUUUCUUUCAUUUCUUUAGGAUCAUGGCAAAAUAAUCAAGCCCUUGACUCAACUCUAAUCUUUAUUAUAUAGCUCAUGGACUCGAUUACAUAGAAGGAUUAUAAAGCAAAACUCACAACUAGAUCAUACUAAGAACUUUUAUUCUACUGGAUCAAGAUAUUACCAAAAGGAUCGAACUAAGAAAAACAGUAAAGAUAAAAGUGAUGGUGAUACGAUACCAGGGCACUCCCCCAAGCUUGGCAGUUGCCAAGUGGAGUGCCCAUACCCAGGUGAUUAUGUCUCCUUUGUUGGUGAAGAAGGUGGAGUUGUUGAUGAUGGACAGUCGCACAUCGAGCGUAGGAGGUCUUCUAACUUGCGGAUAAUGCCCUUGAGUGCAAUGAUAUGCUCCUUCAACAAAAUAUUUUCACGUGUGAGAUACUUAUUUUGUAUACGAGCUAACUCAAUCAUCUUGCAAGCUUCGAUUUCUGUUGGGGUAAGAAGAUUGUGAUCCAGUUGAAGGGUGUCUUCUGUUGCCGGAACUUGGUCCUCCAUGGCCUUCUUGAUCCCUUCAUCCUUGCUGAUCUACAUAGGUUCUUCUCUCUUCAGCUCUAUCUUCAUUAGCCAAGCAUCGUUGCCCUCAUGGUUGGAGGAGGAGGGAGAUGACAUAGUGCCUGGCCUUGACAACCCUGACAGAAAACAGAUCGAAACAAGGACAGGACAUUUUUGCGUGAUACGGGAGUCAAAACCCCCGGGAGAUUAUAUAAUGAAUUUUUACCGACCAAAAUACGUGUCGUGUACGAAAACGGAAUCCGGAGAGCACACGAGGUGCCCACGAGGUAGGGGGGCGCGCCCAGUAGGGUAGGGCGUGCCCUCCACCCUCGUGGAGGCCUCGUGUCCUUCCCGGACUGCUUCUUAUUUUUCCAUUUUUCUAAAUAUUCCAAAACGGAGAAAUAUUGCCUUAAAAACUGUUUUGGAGUCGGUUUACUUACCGUACCACAUACCUAUUCCUUUUCGGAGUCUGAAACGUUCCGGAAAGUGUCCCUUAUGUAUUCCUCCGGGGUUACGGUUUCAAUAACAUUGGUUUCCACAUUUAUGGGAUUACCUGAGAUAUAAUGUUUGAUUCUUUGACCGUUCACCACCUUCGGAUUUGUGCCUUUGAAGUUGUUGAUUUUUAUGGCACCGGAAUGAUAGACCUCCUCGAUAACGUAAGGACCUUCCCAUUUAGAGAGAAGUUUUCCUGCAAAAAAUCUUAAACGAGAGUUGUAUAGUAAUACAUAAUCACCUACAUUAAACUCACGCUUUUGUAUUCUUUUGUCAUGCCAUCUUUUAAAUUUUUCUUUAAACAACUUGGCAUUUUCGUGGGCUUGGGUUCUCCAUUCAUCAAGUGAGCUAAUAUCAAAUAACCUCUUCUCACCAGCAAGUUUAAAAUCAUAAUUGAGUUCUUUAAUAGCCCAAUAAGCCUUGUGUUCUAGUUCGAGAGGUAACUGACAUGCUUUUCCAUAGACCAUUUUAUACGGAGACAUACCCAUAGGAUUUUUAUAUGCAGUUCUAUAGGCCCAUAAUGCAUCAUCAAGUUUCUUGGACCAAUUCUUUCUGGACCCAUUGACAGUCUUUUGCAAAAUUAAUUUGAGUUCUCUAUUACUCAAUUCUACUUGACCACUAGACUGAGGGUGAUAAGGGGAUGCAAUUCUAUGAUUAACAUCAUAUUUAGCAAGCAUUUUACGGAAAGCACCAUGAAUAAAAUGUGAACCACCAUCAGUCAUUAAAUAUCUAGGGACUCCAAAUCUUGGAAAAAUAACUUCUUUAAGCAUUUUAAUAGAAGUGUUAUGAUCAGCACUACUAGUUGGAAUAGCUUCUACCCACUUAGCAACAUAAUCAACAGCAACUAAAAUAUGUGUAUAUCCAUUAGAGGAAGGAAAGGGUCCCAUAUAGUCAAAGCCCCAAACAUCAAAUGGUUCAAUAACAAGUGAAUAAUUCAUAGGCAUUUCUUAACGUCUACUAAUAUUACCAAUUCUUUGACAUUCAUCACAAGAUAAGACAAACUUACGGGCAUCCUUGAAGAGAGUGGGCCAAUAAAAACCAGAUUGCAAUACCUUAUGUGCAGUUCUAUCUCCAGCAUGGUGUCCUCCAUAAGCUUCGGAGUGACACUUGCGUAGGAUCUGUUCCUAUUCAUGCUCAGGUACACAACGUCUAAUAACACCAUCUACUCCUUCUUUAUAAAGAUGUGGGUCAUCCCAAAAGUAAUGCCUCAAAUCAUAGAAGAACUUUUUCUUUUGCUGGUAUGUGAAACUAGGUGGUAUAAACUUAGCAACAAUGUAAUUAGCAUAAUCAGCAUACCAUGGAGCAGUAUGAGAAUCAUUUAUGACAUUUAAUUGCUCAUCAGGAAAGCUAUCAUCAAUAGGAAGUGGGUCAUCAAGCACAUUUUCUAACCUAGACAAGUUGUCUGCAACGGGGUUCUCAGCUCCCUUUCUAUCAACAAUAUGCAAAUCAAAUUCUUGUAGCAAGAGAACCCAUCCAAUAAGUCUAGGUUUGGCAUAUUUCUUUUCCAUAAGAUAUUUAAUAGCAGCAUGAUUAGUGUGAAUAGUUAAUUUAGAAUCAACAAUAUAAGGUCUGAACUUAUCACAAGCAAAUACAACUGCUAAGAAUUCUUUUUUAGUAGUAGCAUAAUUUCUUUGUGCAUUGUCUAGGGUUUUACUAGCAUAUUGAAUAACAUUUAAUUUCUUAUCAACUCUUUGUCCUAGAACAUCAUUACAGCAUAAUCACUUGCAUCACACAUAAUUUCAAACGGUACAUUCCAAUCAGGUGGCUGAACAAUGGGUGCAGAGAUCAAUGCUUUCUUAAGUAUUUCAAAUGCUUCUACACAAUCAUCAUAAAAAACAAAUGGUAUAUCUUUUUGUAAUAAAUUAGUUAGAGGCCGAGAGAUUUUUGAGAAGUCCUUAAUAAACCUCCUAUAAAUCUGGCAUGGCCAAGGAAACUUCUUAUACCUUUGAUGUCCUUGGGACAUGGCAUCUUCUCAAUAGCAUCAACUUUGGCUUUAUCAACUUCAAUACCUCUUUCAGAAACUUUAUGCCCCAAGACAAUACCUUCAUUAACCAUAAAGUGGCACUUUUCCCAAUUCAAGACAAGAUUAGUUUCUUCACAUCUCUGCAAAACUCGAUCAAGGUUGCUCAAGCAAUCAUCAAAAGAAGAUCCAUAGACGGAAAAUUCGUCCAUGAAAACCUCACAAAUCUUUUCACAAAAGUCGGAGAAUAUAGCCAUCAUGCAUCUUUGAAAGGUAGCAGGUGCAUUACAUAAACCAAAAGGCAUAUGUCUAUAAGCAAAAGUACCAAAAGGGCAUGUAAAAGUAGUCUUUGAUUGAUCUUUGGCUGACACAGGUAUUUGAGAGAAACCUGAAUAACCAUCUAGAAGCAAAAAUGUGUAUGUUUGUGUAAUAUUUCUAGCAUUUGAUUGAUAAAAGUUAAGGGGUAAUGAUCCUUUUUAGUAGCCUUAUUUAAUUUGCGGAAAUCAAUUACCAUCCUAUAACCUGUCAUAAUUCUUUGAGGGAUCAAUUCAUCUUUAUCAUUAGGAAUAACAGUAAUUCCUCCCUUCUUAGGGACACAAUGGACAGGGCUUACGCACUGACUGUCAGCAACGGGAUAGAUUAUACCUGCCUCAAGGAGCUUUAGUAUUUCCUUUCUUACCACUUCUUUCAUUUUAGGAUUCUGCCGGUGUUGAUGAUCACGAACUGGUUUAGCAUCUUCUUCCAAAUUAAUUUUAUGUUGACAUAGAGUGGGACUAAUGCCCUUAAGAUCAUCAAGAGUAUACCCAAUAGCAGCACGGUGGUUCUUCAGAGUUUUCAAUAAUCUCUCUUCCUCAUGCUCUGAAAGUUAGCACUAAUAAUAACAGGAUAUAUCUUUUUCUCAUCAAGAUAAGCAUAUUUAAGAGUAUCAGGUAACAGUUUAAGCUCAAACACGGGAUCACCCUUGGGUGGAGGAGGAUCCCCUAGGAUUUCAACAGGAAAAUUGUUUUUCAGAAUAGGUUCCUGUUUAAAGAAUACUUCAUAUAAUUCCCUUCUUUCAUUCAUAAACAUGUCAUUUUCAUGAUCUAGCAAGUAUUGUUCUAAAGGAUCACUAGGAGGUACGACAAUAGAAGAAAGACCAAUAAUUUCAUCCUUACUAGGUAAUUGUUCUUCACGGUGUUGUCUACUAAAUUUAGAGAAAUUAAAUUCAUGAGUCAUAUCAUCUAAACCGAUAGUAACAACAUCCCUUUUGCCAUCUAUGGUAGGAUUAACAGUGUUCGGGAAGGGUCUACCAAAUAUAAUGGGACAAAAGCUAUCUUGUGGGGAACCAAGAACAAGAAAAUCAGAAGGAUAUUUAGUUUCCCACACAAGACUUCAACAUAUCUAACAAUUCCCAUUGGUGAAAUAGUAUCUCUAUUGGCAGAUUUAAUUGUGACAUCAAUAUCUUCUAUCUCAGCAAGUGCAAUAUCAUGCAUAAUUUCUUUGUAUAAGGAAUGAGGUAUUGCGCUAGCACUAGCACCCAUAUCACAUAGGCCAUGAUAACAAUAAUCUCCUAUUUUAACAAAAUAACAGGCAUGCCUACCACAGGUCUAGGUUUAUCUUUAGCACAGGGUUUAGCAAUUCUAGCAGUUUCAUCACAGAAAUAAAUAACAUGCCCAUCAAUAUUAUCAGACAAUAGAUCUUUAACAAUAGCAAUAUUAGGUUCAACUUUAACUUUCUCAGGAGGUGUAUAUAUUUUAAUAUUGCUUUUAUGAAGUAUAGUUGAAGCUUUAGCAUGAUCCUUUAUCCUAAUAGGGAAAGGUGGUUUCUCAACAUAAGCAGUAGGAACAAUAGGAUCAUUAUAAGUGACAAUCUUUUCUUCAACUUUAAUAGGUGCAGCUACUUUUACUUCUAUGGGAGGAUGAUAUUUAAACCACUUCUCCUUGGGGAGAUCAACAUAAGUAGCAAAAGAUUCAUAGAAAGAAGCUACUAUCUCAUAGUCAAGUCCAUAUUUAGUGCUAAAUUUACGAAAAGUAUCGGUAUCCAUAAAAGAUUUGACACAAUCAAAACUAGGUGUCAUAACUGACUCCUUACCUUUGUCGAGGUCCCAAUCUUCAUAGUUUCGUUUAAUUCUUUCCAAUAAAUCUCAUUUGAAUUUAAUAGUCUUCAUCAUAAAAGAGCCAGCACAAGAAGUAUCAAGCAUGGUGCGAUUGUUAUCAGAAAGCCGAGCAUAAAAUUUUUGAAUAAUCAUUUCUCUUGAGAGCUCAUGAUUGGGGCAUGAAUAUAACAUUGAUUUAAGCCUCUCCCAAGCUUGAGCGAUGCUUUCUCCUUUACGAGGCCAAAAAUUAUAUAUGUAAUUGCGAUCACGAUGUACAAGAUGCAUAGGAUAAAACUUCUGAUGAAAUUCCAAUUUCAAUCGUUUGUAAUUCCAAGACCCCAUAUCAUCACAUAGCCUAUACCAUGUUGAUGCAUCUCCCUUCAAAGAUAAAGGGAAGACCUUCUUCUUAACAACAUCUACAAGCUUAAAUAAUCCACAAACUUCAUCCACAUAUAUUAGAUGCUCAUCAGGAUGGUUUGUUCCAUCUCCUAAAAAGGAUUAGCUAGCAGUUUUUCUAUCAUACCCGAAGGAAUUUCAAAGCAGACAUUUUCAUUUUCAUUUUCAGUAGGUUGAGUAUGUUGAGGAGAAACUGUUUGCUCUACUGGUCGGGGUGAAGAUGCCCCAAACAAGCCCCUCAAAGGAUUACUUUCCAUCGUAACAAGUGACAGUAAAAUUCAGCACACUAUAUAAAUUUUUCCUUACCAAAGGCGCUUCACUCCCCGGCAACGGCGCCAGAAAAGAGUCUUGAUGACCCACAAGUAUAGGGGAUCUAUAGUAGUCCUUUCGAUAAGUAAGAGCAUCGAACCCAACGAGGAGCAGAAGGAAAUGAUAAGCGGUUUCCAGCAAGGUAUUCUCUGCAAGUACUGAAAUAAGUGGUAACAAAUAGUUUUGUGAUAGGAUGAUUUGUAACGAGCAACAAGUAACAAAGGUAAAUAAAGUGGAGCAAGGUGGCCCAAUCCUUUUUGUAGCAAAGGACAAGCCUGGACAAACUCUUAUAUAGAGAAAAGCGCUCCCGAGGACACAUGGGAAUAUCGUCAAGCUAGUUUUCAUCAUGCUCAUAUGAUUCACGUUUGGUACUUUGAUAAUUUGGUAUGUGGGUGGACCGGUGCUUGGGUACUGCCCUUACUUGGACAAGCAUCCCACUUAUGAUUAACCUCUAUUGCAAGCAUCCGCAACUACAACAAAAGUAUUAAGGUAAACCUAACCAUAGCAUGAAACAUAUGGAUCCAAAUUAGCCCCUUACGAAGCAACGCAUAAACUAGGGUUUAAGCUUCUGUCACUCUAGCAACCCAUCAUCUACUUAUUACUUCCCAAUGCCUUCCUCUAGGCCCAAAUAAUGGUGAAGUGUCAUGUAGUCGAUGUUCACAUAACACCACUAGAGGAGAGACUGAAGGAAAUAUGCCCUAGAGGCAAUAAUAAUGUUAUUAUUUUAUUUCCUUAUAUCAUGAUAAAUGUUUAUUAUUCGUGCUAGAAUUGUAUUAUCCGGAAACAUAAUACUUGUGUGAAUACAUAGACAAACCAAACGUCACUAGUAUGCCUCUACUUGACUAGCUCGUUAAUCGAAGAUGGUUAUGUUUCCUAACCAUAGACAUGUGUUGUCAUUUGAUUAAUGGGAUCACAUCAUUAGGAGAAUGAUGUGAUUGACAUGACCCAUUCCAUUAGCUUAGCACCCGAUCGUUUAGUAUGUUGCUAUUGCUUUCUUCAUGACUUAUACAUGUUCCUAUGACUAUGAGAUUAUGCAACUCCCGUUUACCGGAGGAACACUUUGUGUGCUAUCAAACGUCACAACGUAACUGGGUGAUUAUAAAGGAGCUCUGCAGGUGUCUCCAAAGGUAAAUGUUGGGUUGGCGUAUUUCGAGAUUAGGAUUUAUCACUCCGAGUGUCGGAGAGGUAUCUCUGGGCCCUCUCGGUGAUGCACAUCACAUAAGCCUUGCAAGCAUUACAACUAAUGAGUUAGUUGCAAGAUGAUGUAUUACGAAACGAGUAAAGAGACUUGCCGGUAACGAGAUUGAACUAGGUAUUGAGAUACCGACGAUCGAAUCUCGGGCAAGUAACAUACCGAUGACAAAGGGAACAACGUAUGUUGUUAUGCGGUCUGACCAAUAAAGAUCUUCGUAGAAUAUGUAGGAGCCAAUAUGAUCAUCUAGGUUCCGCUAUUGGUUAUUGACUGGAGACGUGUCUCGGUCAUGUCUACAUUGUUCUCGAACCCGUAGGGUCCGCACGCUUAAGGUUUCGAUGACAGUUAUAUUAUGAGUUUAUACAUUUUGAUGUACCGAAGUUUGUUCUGAGUGCCGGAUGUGAUCACGGACAUGAUGAGGAGUCUCGAAAUGGUCGAGACAUAAAGAUUGAUAUAUUGGAAGCCUAUAUUUGGAUAUCAGAAGUGUUCCGGGUGAAAUCGGGAUUUUACCGGAGUACCGGGAGGUUACCGGAACCCCCCGGGAGGUAUAUGGGCCUUAGUGGGCUUUAGUGGAAGAGAGGAGAGGUGGCCAGGGCUGGGCCGCGCGCCCCUCGCCCCCUAGUCCGAAUAGGACAAGGAGAGGGGGGCGGCGCCCCCCUUCCUUCUCUCUCUCCUCUUUCUCCCUCCCGAAUCCUAUUCCAACUAGGAAAGGGGGGGAAUCCUACUCCCGGUGGGAGUAGGACUCCUCCUGGCGCGCCCUCCUCCUGGCCGGCCGCACCUCCCCUUGCUCCUUUAUAUACGGGGGCAGGGGGCACCCCUAGACACACAAGUUGAUCCACGUGAUCAUAUUCUUAGCCAUGUGCGGUGCCCCCUUCCACCAUAAUCCUCGAUAAUAUUGUAGCGGUGCUUAGGCGAAGCCCUGCGACGGUAGAACAUCAAGAUCGUCACCACGCCGUCGUGCUGACGGAACUCUUCCCCGACACUUUGCUAGAUCGGAGUCCGGGAAUCAUCAUCGAGCUGAACGUGUGCUAGAACUCGGAGGUGCCGUAGUUUCGGUGCUUGAUCGGUCGGGCUGUGAAGACGUACGACUACAUCAACCGCGUUGUGCUAACGCUUCCGCUGUCGGUCUACAAGGGUACGUAGAUCACACUCUCCCCUCUCGUUGCUAUGCAUCACCAUGAUCUUGCGUGUGCGUAGGAAUUUUUUUGAAAUUACUACGUUCCCCAACAGUGGUAUCAGAGCCUAGGUUUUAUGUGUUGAUGUUAUAUGCAUGAGUAGAACACAAGUGAGUUGUGGGCAAUAUAAGUCAUACUGCUUACCAGCAUGUCAUACUUUGGUUCGGCGGUAUUGAUGGACGAAGCGGCCCGAACCGACAUUACGCGUACGCUUACGCGAGACCGGUUCUCCCGACGUGCUUUGUGCAAAGGUGGCUAGCGGGUGACAGUUUCUCCAACUUUAGUUGGACCGAGUGUGGCUACGCCCGGUCCUUGCGAAGGUUAAAACAACACCAACUUGACAAACUAUUGUUGUGGUUUUGAUGCGUAGGUAAGAUUGGUUCUUGCUUAAGCCCGUAGCAGCCACGUAAAACUUGCAACAACAAAGUAGAGGACGUCUAACUUGUUUUUGCAGGGCAUGUUGUGAUGUGAUAUGGUCAAGACAUGAUGCUAAAUUUUAUUGUAUGAGAUGAUCAUGUUUUGUAACCGAGUUAUCGGCAACUGGCAGGAGCCAUAUGGUUGUCGCUUUAUUGUAUGCAAUGCAAUCGCGCUGUAAUGCUUUACUUUAUAACUAAGCGGUAGCGAUAGUCGUGGAAGCAUAAGAUUGGCGAGACAACAAUGAUGCUAUGAUGGAGAUCAAGGUGUCGUGCCGGUGAUGAUGGUGAUCACGACGGUGCUUCGAAGAUGGAGAUCACAAGCACAAGAUGAUGAUGGCCAUAUCAUAUCACUUAUAUUGAUUGCAUGUGAUGUUUAUCUUUUAUGCAUCUUAUCUUGCUUUGAUUGACGGUAGCAUUAUAAGAUGAUCUCUCACUAAUUAUCAAGAAGUGUUCUCCCUGAGUAUGCACCGUUGCGAAAGUUCUUCGUGCUGAGACACCACGUGAUGAUCGGGUGUGAUAGGCUCUACGUUCAAAUACAACGGGUGCAAAACAGUUGCACACGCGGAAUACUCAGGUUAUACUUGAUGAGCCAAGCAUAUACAGAUAUGGCCUCGGAACACGGAGACCGAAAGGUCGAGCGUGAAUCAUAUAGUAGAUAUGAUCAACAUAGUGAUGUUCACCAAUGAAACUACUCCAUCUCACGUGAUGAUCGGACAUGGUUUAGUUGAUUUGGAUCACGUAAUCACUUAGAGGAUUAGAGGGAUGUCUAUCUAAGUGGGAGUUCUUUAAGUAAUAUGAUUAAUUGAACCUAAAUUUAUCAUGAACUUAGUACCUGAUAGUAUCUUGCUUGUUUAUGUUUGAUUGUAGAUAGAUGGCCCAUGCUAUUGUUCCAUUGAAUUUUAAUGCGUUCCUUGAGAAAGCAAAGUUGAAAGAUGAUGGUAGCAAUUACACGGACUGGGUCCGUAACUUGAGGAUUAUCCUCAUUGCUGCACAGAAGAAUUACGUCCUGGAAGCACCGCUGGGUGCCAGGCCUGCUGCUGGAGCAACACCAGAUAUUAUGAACGUCUGGUAGAGCAAAGCUGAUGACUACUCGAUAGUUCAGUGUGCCAUGCUUUACGGCUUAGAAUUGGGACUUCAACGACGUUUUGAACGUCAUGGAGCAUAUGAGAUGUUCCAGGAGUUGAAGUUAAUAUUUCAAGCAAAUGCCCGGAUUGAGAGAUAUGAAGUCUCCAAUAAGUUCUAUAGCUGCAAGAUGGAGGAGAACAGUUCUGUCAGUGAGCAUAUACUCAAAAUGUCUGGGUAUAAUAAUCACUUGAUUCAAUUGGGAGUUAAUCUUCCAGAUGAUUGCAUCAUUGACAGAAUUCUCCAAUCACUACCACCAAGCUACAAGAGCUUCGUGAUGAACUAUAAUAUGCAAGGGAUGAAUAAAACUAUUCCCGAGCUCUUCGUAAUGCUGAAAGUUGCGGAGGUAGAAAUCAAGAAGGAGCGUCAAGUGUUGAUGGUCAACAAGACCACUAGUUUCAAGAAAAAGGGCAAAGGGAAGAAGAACGGGAACUUCAAAAAGAACAACAAGCAAGUUGCUACUCAAGAGAAGAAACCCAAACCUGGACCUAAGCCUGAAACUGAGUGCUUCUACUGCAAGCAGACUGGUCACUGGAAGCGGAACUGCCCCAAGUAUUUGGCGGAUAAGAAGGAUGGCAAGGUGAACAAAGGUAUAUGUGAUAUACAUGUUAUUGAUGUGUACCUUACUAAUGCUCGCAGUAGCACCUGGGUAUUUGAUACUGGUUCUGUUGCUAAUAUUUGCAACUCGAAACAGGGACUACGGAUUAAGCGAAGAUUGGCUAAGGACGAGGUGACGAUGCGCGUGGGAAAUGGUUCCAAAGUCGAUGUGAUCGCAGUCGGCACGCUACCUCUACAUCUACCUUCGGGAUUAGUAUUAGACCUAAAUAAUUGUUAUUUGGUGCCAACGUUAAGCAUGAACAUUAUAUCUGGAUCUUGUUUGAUGCGAGACGGCUAUUCAUUUAAAUCAGAGAAUAAUGGUUGUUCUAUUUACAUGAGUAAUAUCUUUUAUGGUCAUGCACCCUUAAAGAGUGGUCUAUUCUUAUUAAAUCUCGAUAGUAGUGACACACAUAUUCAUAGUGUUGAAGCCAAAAGAUGCAGAGUUGAUAAUGAUAGUGCAACUUAUUUGUGGCACUGCCGUUUGGGUCAUAUCGGUAUAAAGCGCAUGAAGAAACUCCAUACUGAUGGGCUUUUGGAACCACUUGAUUAUGAAUCACUUGGUACUUGCGAACCGUGCCUUAUGGGUAAGAUGACAAAAACACCAUUCUCCGGUACUAUGGAGAGAGCAACAAAUUUAUUGGAAAUCAUACAUACAGAUGUAUGUGGUCCGAUGAAUGUUGAGGCUCGUGGCGGAUAUCGUUAUUUUCUCACCUUCAUAGAUGACUUAAGCAGAUAUGGGUAUAUCUACUUAAUGAAACAUAAGUCUGAAACGUUUGAAAAGUUCAAAGAAUUUCAGAGUGAAGUUGAAAAUCAUCGUAACAAGAAAAUAAAAUUCCUACGAUCUGAUCGUGGAGGAGAAUAUUUGAGUUACGAGUUUGGUGUACAUUUGAAACAAUGUGGAAUAGUUUCACAACUCACGCCACCCGGAACACCACAGCGUAAUGGUGUGUCCGAACGUCGUAAUCGUACUUUACUAGAUAUGGUGCGAUCUAUGAUGUCUCUUACUGAUUUACCGCUAUCAUUUUGGGGAUAUGCUCUAGAGACGGUCGCAUUCACGUUAAAUAGGGCACCAUCAAAAUCCGUUGAGACGACGCCUUAUGAACUGUGGUUUGGCAAGAAACCAAAGUUGUCGUUUCUGAAAGUUUGGGGCUGCGAUGCUUAUGUGAAAAAACUUCAACCUGAUAAGCUCGAACCCAAAUCGGAGAAAUGUGUCUUCAUAGGAUAUCCAAAGGAAACUAUUGGAUACACCUUCUAUCACAGAUCCGAAGGCAAGACUUUUGUUGCUAAAUUCGGAAACUUUCUGGAGAAGGAGUUUCUCUCGAAAGAAGUGAGUGGGAGGAAAGUAGAACUUGACGAGGUAACUAUACCUGCUCCCUUAUUGGAAAGUAGUACAUCACAGAAACCUGUUUCUGUGACACCUACACCAAUUAGUGAGGAAGCUAAUGAUAAUGAUCAUGAAACUUCAGAACAAGAUACUACUGAACCUCGUAGAUCAACCAGAGUAAGAUCCGCGCCAGAGUGGUACGGUAAUCCUGUUCUGGAAGUCAUGCUACUAGAUCAUGAUGAACCUACGAACUAUGAAGAAGCGAUGGUGAGCCCAGAUUCCACAAAAUGGCUUGAAGCCAUGAAAUCUGAGAUGGGAUCCAUGUAUGAGAACAAAGUAUGGACUUUGGUUGACUUGCCCAAUGAUCGGCAAGCAAUUGAUAAUAAAUGGAUCUUCAAGAAGAAGACUGACGCUGACGGUAAUAUUACUGUCUACAAAGCUCGACUUGUCGCAAAAGGUUUUCGGCAAGUUCAAGGGAUUGACUACGAUGAGACCUUCUCACCCGUAGCAAUGCUUAAGUCUGUCCGAAUCAUGUUAGCAAUUGCCGCAUUUUAUGAUUAUGAAAUUUGGCAAAUGGAUGUCAAAACUGCAUUCCUAAAUGGACUUCUGCAAGAAGAGUUGUAUAUGAUGUAGCCGGAAGGCUUUGUCGAUCCAAAGGGAGCUAACAAAGUGUGCAAGCUCCAGCGAUCCAUUUAUGGACUGGUGCAAGCCUCUCGGAGUUGGAAUAAACGCUUUGAUAGUGUGAUCAAAGCAUUUGGUUUUGUAUAGACUUUUGGAGAAGCCUGUAUUUACAAGAAAGUGAGUGGGGGCUCUGUAGCAUUUCUGAUAUUAUAUGUAGAUGACAUAUUGCUAAUUGGAAAUGAUAUAGAAUUUCUGGAUAGCAUAAAAGGAUACUUGAAUAAGAGUUUUUCAAUGAAAUACCUCGGUGAAGCUGCUUACAUAUUGGGCAUUAAGAUCUAUAGAGAUAGAUCAAGACGCUUAAUUGGACUUUCACAAAGCACAUACCUUGACAAAAUUUUGAAGAAGUUCAAAAUGGAUCAAGCAAAGAAAGGAUUCUUGCCUGUGUUACAAGGUGUGAAAUUGAGUAAGACUCAAUCCCCGACCAAUGCAGAAGAUAGAGAGAAAAUGAAAGAUGUUCCCUAUGCUUCAGCCAUAGGCUCUAUCAUGUAUGCAAUGCUGUGCACCAGACCUGAUGUGUGUCUUGCUAUAAGUCUAGCAGGGAGGUACCAAAGUAAUCCAGGAGUGGAUCACUGGACAGCGGUCAAGAACAUCCUGAAAUACCUGAAAAGGACUAAGGAUAUGUUUCUCAUAUAUGGAGGUGACAAAGAGCUCAUCGUAAAUGGUUACGUUGAUGCAAGCUUUGACACUGAUCCGGACGAUUCUAAAUCGCAAACCGGAUACGUGUUUACAUUAAACGGUGGAGCUAUCAGUUGGUGCAGUUCUAAACAAAGCGUUGUGGCGGGAUCUACAUGUGAAGUGGAGUACAUAGCUGCUUCGGAAGCAACAAAUGAAGGAGUCUGGAUGAAGGAGUUCAUAUCCGAUCUAGGUGUCAUACCUAGUGCAUCGGGUCCAAUGAAAAUCUUUUGUGACAAUACUGGUGCAAUUGCCUUGGCAAAGGAAUCCAGAUUUCACAAGAGAACCAAGCACAUCAAGAGACGCUUCAAUUCCAUCCGGGAUCUAGUCCAGGUGGGAGACAUAGAGAUUUGCAAGAUACAUACGGAUCUGAAUAUAGCAGACCCGUUGACUAAGCCUCUUCCACGAGCAAAACAUGAUCAGCACCAAAGCUCCAUGGGAGUUAGAAUCAUUACUGUGUAAUCUAGAUUAUUGACUCUAGUGCAAGUGGGAGACUGAAGGAAAUAUGCCCUAGAGGCAAUAAUAAUGUUAUUAUUUUAUUUCCUUAUAUCAUGAUAAAUGUUUAUUAUUCAUGCUAGAAUUGUAUUAUCUGGAAACAUAAUACUUGUGUGAAUACAUAGACAAACCAAACGUCACUAGUAUGCCUCUACUUGACUAGCUCGUUAAUCGAAGAUGGUUAUGUUUCCUAACCAUAGACAUGUGUUGUCAUUUGAUUAAUGGGAUCACAUCAUUAGGAGAAUGAUGUGAUUGACAUGACCCAUUCCAUUAGCUUAGCACCCGAUUGUUUAGUAUGUUGCUAUUGCUUUCUUCAUGACUUAUACAUGUUCCUAUGACUAUGAGAUUAUGCAACUCCCGUUUACCGGAGGAACACUUUGUGUGCUAUCAAACGUCACAACGUAACUGGGUGAUUAUAAAGGAGCUCUACGGGUGUCUCCAAAGGUAAAUGUUGGGUUUGCGUAUUUCGAGAUUAGGAUUUAUCACUCCGAGUGUCGGAGAGGUAUCUCUGGGCCCUCUCGGUGAUGCACAUAACAUAAGCCUUGCAAGCAUUACAACUAAUGAGUUAGUUGCAAGAUGAUGUAUUACGAAAUGAGUAAAGAGACUUGCCGGUAACGAGAUUGAACUAGGUAUUGAGAUACCGACGAUCGAAUCUCGGGCAAGUAACAUACCGAUGACAAAGGGAACAACGUAUGUUGUUAUGCGGUCUGACCGAUAAAGAUCUUCGUAGAAUAUGUAGGAGCCAAUAUGAGCAUCCAGGUUCCGCUAUUGGUUAUUGACCGGAGACGUGUCUCGGUCAUGUCUACAUUGUUCUCGAACCCGUAGGGUCCGCACGCUUAAGGUUUCGAUGACAAUUAUAUUAUGAGUUUAUACAUUUUGAUGUACCGAAGUUUGUUCGGAGUCCCGGAUGUGAUCACGGACAUGACGAGGAGUCUCAAAAUGGCCGAGACAUAAAGAUUGAUAUAUUGGAAGCCUAUAUUUGGAUAUCGGAAGUGUUCCGGGUGAAAUCGGGAUUUUACCGGAGUACCGGGAGGUUACCGGAACCCCCCGGGAGGUAUAUGGGCCUUAGUAGGCUUUAGUGGAAGAGAGGAGAGGUGGCCAGGGCUGGGCCGCGCGCCCCUCCCCCCUAGUCCGAAUAGGACAAGGAGAGGGGGGCGGCGCCCCCCCCCCCUUCCUUCUCUCUCUCUCCUCUUUCUCCCUCCCGAAUCCUAUUCCAACUAGGAAAGGGGGGGAAUCCUACUCCCGGUGGGAGUAGGACUCCUCCUGGCGCGCCCUCCUCCUGGCCGGCCGCACCUCCCCUUGCUCCUUUAUAUACGGGGGCAGGGGGCACCCCUAGACACACAAGUUGAUCCACGUGAUCAUAUUCUUAGCCAUGUGCGGUGCCCCCUUCCACCAUAAUCCUCGAUAAUAUUGUAGCGGUGCUUAGGCGAAGCCCUGCGGUGGUAGAACAUCAAGAUCGUCACCACGCCGUCGUGCUGAUGGAACUCUUCCCCGACACUUUGCUGGAUCGGAGUCCGGGAAUCGUCAUCGAGCUGAACGUGUGCUAGAACUCGGAGGUGUCGUAGUUUCGGUGCUUGAUCGGCCGGGCCGUGAAGACGUACGACUACAUCAACCGCGAUGUGCUAACGCUUCCGCUGUCGGUCUACAAGGGUACGUAGAUCACACUCUCCCCUCUCAUUGCUAUGCAUCACCAUGAUCUUGCGUGUGCGUAGGAAUUUUUUUGAAAUUACUACGUUCCCCAACAGAGACAACAUACAUCUCAUCAAAAUAUCGAACGAAUACCAAAUUCACAUGACUACUAAUAGCAAGACUUUUCCCAUGUCCUCGGGAACAAACGUAACUACUCACAAAGCAUAAACAUGUUCAUAAUCAGAGGGGUAUUAAUGUGCAUAUAGGAUCUGAACAUAUGAUCUUCCACCAAUUAAACCAACUAGCAUCAACUACAAGGAGUAAUUAACACUACUAGCAACCUACUAGCACCAAUCCCAGACUUGGAGACAAGAAUUGGAUACAAGACAUGAACUAGGGUUUUGAGAGGAGAUGGUGCUGAUGAAGAUGUUGAUGGAGAUUGCCCUCUCCCGAUGAGAGGAGCGUUGGUGAUGACGAUGGCGAUGAUUUCCCCCUCCGAGAGGGAAGUUUCCCCGGCAGAACAGUUCCGCCAGAGCCCUAGAUUUGUUCUGCCAAGGUUCCGCCUCGUGGCGGCGGAGUUUCGUCCGAGAAGAUGGCUUGUUAUUUUUUCCCAUCGAAAGACUUCAUAUAGCAGAAGAUGGUCACCGGAGGGCCACCAGGGGGCCCACGAGGUAGGGGACGCGCCCAGGGGGUAGGGCGCGCCCCCACCCUCGUGGGCAGGGUGUGGGCCCCCUGGUGAAGUUCUUGCUCUCAGUAUUUUUUAUAUAUUUGGAAAACGUCUUCCGUGGAGUUUCAGGACUUUUGGAGCUGUGCAGAAUAGGUCUCUAAUAUUUGCUCCUUUUCCAGCCCAGAAUCCCAGCUCCCGGCAUUCUCCCUCUUUAUGUAAACCUUGUAAAUAAGAGAGAAUAGGCAUAAGUAUUGUGACAUAAUGUGUAAUAACAGCCCAUAAUGCAAUAAAUAUCGAUAUAAAAGCAUGAUGCAAAAUGGAUGUAUCAAGGAGUCACAGAAACUCAGACCGUCACUUGGAUAGCCCUUCGGGAGGCACUCUCAAAACAGCCCCUCGGGCAAAAGGAUCGAAACUACGACCUCUCUACGGGGUUGCACACAUACGGUGUCAUCUAUCCGGCAGGGCUUCGCCGUCCAGAACUAGUUCCUGCCGGAACCCAGAUAGCCUUUCGGCUCUACGAAACUAUUUCGCUGGGAGGGAGAGAAAGAGCCAGAUCAUGCAUGGCAUUUGUAUGAGAGCAAGAGUGUGUCUUUAGGCAUCCCUCUCCACCCCUAUUUAUAGGCCAAGCCCAAUGGUGGCUUCUCCAAGAAGCCAAAGGGGAUAAUACCACAAGGCCCUCAAGGUGGCUUCUCCAAGAAGCCAAGCAAAAAAGCACUUUCACUAUUCACGAUGACAUUUUUCAGCGUCCGUUCAAACUGAAAAUAUUUAUGUGGGCUCAGAACAUUUCUAGUACCCAUUAAAAUAAUUUUCAUCACGUUCCGAACCAAUUUCGGUUUAGUGAAUUUCAUCUGCGAAAAGCAAACAAGAAUGCGUUUUCACUAUUCAUGAAGACAAUUUUUCACGUCCAUUAAAUCCGAAAAUAUUUCUGUGGGUCUUAGAAUAAUUCCAGUACCCACUAAAAUGAUUUUGGAUUCAUUCCAAAACAAUUUCAGAUUAGUGAAUUUCAUCUGCGAAAAGCAACCAAACCGGUACCGACAGCUCCGGGACAAUUCCAGAAAGUUUCCAGAAUGACUCUGGCACCCUCCAAGAAUUAUCAGGCAUGUGCCGAAACCAAUUUGACUUAAUAGUAUAUCCUGAAACAACUUUUCGGUUUCACCGAAACUCAUCCGAUGACCUCUCUCUGCGGAACUUUUCCGCUGUCCAAAACAUUUCAGUGUCCGAAACUUUUUCGAUGAUUUUCUCUCAAACUCCCUGUCUAGUAUUCAGCAGAUAGAUGACCCUUAAGCGUGUGACCCUAUAGGUUCGGUGAAGCAUAGACAUGACCGGUACACUUUCUGAUCAAUGAUCAACAUCGGAGCCGUGGACACCCAUAUUGACCCCUAUACCCACAUGAAUGAAUAUUCGAGCGAACCUCCAGUUGCCGUGUGCUAUUCCUGUUGCUUCGUGAUAUGUUACAAAUACCCGAGGUGAGACAUGUUGGCAUCCCCGUGGAUCAACAACUUGUCCACUAUGCCAGUUACCUCGUUACCGGUAUUUUUCUCUUUUCUCGUUCCCGUGUUCCAGCAUCCCCGUGAUCAAAUCACAAAGUGUCUGGCCAGACGAUGAUGGAUACCGUAACACCAAGAGGGCCCAGAGAUAUCUCUCCAUCGUCGGAGGAGCAAAUCCCAAUCUUGAGCUAUCAAGUUACUUGACAUACUUUUCCAUGAACCCGUAAGCCGCCGUAAUAGCCACCCAUUUACGGAUGAUGUUUAACAAACCCCAAAGUUCAUGAAGCAAGCAUGAAGGAACUCGAUACUCUCAUGGUCUAAGGAAUCAUGCAAACGUUAACCAUCUCUAUGUUAUGUACCAUUAACUUGUGACAAAUGAAUCUCAUAGCAUAACAUCAAUCCAGGUCUAUUCAACAAAAAUGUUCUCUUAACAUUGUGCCCUCAAAGUUGCUGGCAUAAAUAUGCCCAUGAUCAGGAAAACAGAACCAUCAUGCAACACUUGAGCUAGUCUUAGAGGCCAGACUAAGAAUACUUCUUACCAUUUAUUAUUCCACACGUGCAUAUGAGUCUUCCUCCGAGCCUCGUGUUAUUGCAAACUCGAGAACCAUAGCAGUUAUAGCAUGGAACAUAAACAUAAUUAUGAACUUGGAGAUAAAUAAUAUCAUUUAUUAUUGCCUCUAGGGCAUAUCUGCUACAGGAGCACUACAUCAUUUCUGAUAAGUAUAUGUGAAUGACAUAUUGUUGGUAAGAAAUAAUGUAGAAUUUUCUGGAAAGCAUAAAGGAGUGUUUGAAAAGAGUUUUUCAAAGAAAGACCUCAAUGAAGCUGCUUACACAUUGAGCAUCAAGAUCUACAGAGAUAGAUCAAGACACUUGAUACGUUUUUUCAAUGAGUACAUACCUUGACAAGAUUUUGAAGUAGUUCAAAAUGGAACAGUCAAAGAAGGAGUUCUUGCCUGUGUUGCAAGGUAUGAAGUUGAGUAAAGACUCAAAACCCGACCACGGCAGAAAAUAGAAAGAGAAUGAAAAGUCAUUCCCUAUGCCUCAGUCAUAGGUUCUAUAAAGUAUGUUAUGCUGUUUACCAGUCUUAUUGUAUACCUUAGCAUUUUUCUGGCAAGGGAGUACAAUAGUGAUCUAGGAGUAGAUCACUGGACAACGGUCAAAAUUAUCCUUAGAGGACUAAGGAAAUAUUUCUCGGUUAUGGAGGUGAUAAAAGAGUUUGUCGUAAAGAGUUACGUCAAUGCAAGCUUUUUACAUCGAUCUAGAUGACUCUAAGCCUCGAUCUGGAUACAUAUUGAAAGUGGGAGCAAUUAGCUAGAGUAGCUCCGUGCAGAGCAUUGUGGACAUAGGGAUUUGUGAAAUACAUACGAGUAUGAAUGUUGCAGACCCGUAGACUAAACUUCUCUCACAAGCAAAACAUGAUCACUCUUUGGGUAUUAAUCACAUAGCGAUGUGAACUAGAUUAUUUACUCUAGUAAACCCUUUGGGUAUUAGUCACAUGAAGAUGUGAACUAAUUACGUAAAGAUGUGAACUAGAUUAUUGACUCUAGUGCAAGUGGGAGACUGAAGGAAAUAUGCCCUAGAGGCAAUAAUAAAGUUAUUAUUUAUUUCCUUAUAUCAUGAUAAAUGUUUAUUAUUCAUGCUAGAAUUGUAUUAACCGGAAACAUAAUACAUGUGUGAAUACAUAGAAAAACAUAAUGUCACUAGUAUGCCUCUACUUGACUAGCUCGUUGGUCAAUGGUUAUGUUUCCUAACCAUAGACAUGAGUUGUCAUUUGAUAAACGGGAUCACAUCAUUAGGAGAAUGAUGUGAUUGACUUGACCCAUUCCGUUAGCUUAGCACUUGAUCGUUUUAGUAUAUUUCUAUUGCUUUCUUCAUGACUUAUAAAUGUCCCUAUGACUAUGAGAUUAUGCAACUCCCGAUUAACGGAGGAACACUUUGUGUGAUACCAAACGUCACAACGUAACUGGGUGAUUAUAAAGGUGCUCUACAGGUGUCUCUGAUGGUACUUGUUGAGUUGGCAUAGAUCGAGAUUAGUACUUGUCACUCCGAUUGUCGGAGAGGUAUCUCUGGGCCCUCUCGGUAAUGCACAUCACUAUAAGCCUUGCAAGCAAUGCAACUAAUGAGUUAGUUGCGGGAUGACGCAUUACGGAACGUGUAAAGAGACUUGCCAGUAACGAGAUUGAAUUAGGUAUUGAGAUACCGACGAUCGAAUCUCAGGCAAGUAACAUACCGAUGACAAAAGGAACAACGUAUGUUGUUAUGUGGUUUGACCGACAAAGAUCUUCGUAGAAUAUGUGGGAGCCAAUAUGAGCAUCCAGGUUCCGCUAUUGGUUAUUGACCGGAGACGUGUCUCGGUCAUGUCUACAUAGUUCUCGAACCCGUAGGGUCCGCACGCUUAACCGAUGACGAUCGGUAAUAUGAGUUUAUCUGUUUUGAUGUACUGAAGGUAGUUCGGAGUCCCGGAUGAGAUCGGAGACAUGACGAGGAGUCUCGAAAUGGUCGAGACGUAAAGAUCGAUAUAUUGGACGACUAUAUUCGGACACCGGAAGUGUUCCGGGUGGUUCCGAAGAAACCCGGAGUGACGGAGGGUUACGGGAACCCCCCCCCCCCCAAGGAUAAAUAGUGGGCCUUAUGGGCCUUAGUGGAGAGAGAGAGAGGGCUGGCCUAGGGCAGGCCGCGUGCCCCUCCCCCUCUGGUCCAAAUUGGACUAGGAGAGGGGGCCCCUUUCCUUCUCCCUCCCCCCUUCCUUUCCCCUUCCUAGUAGGAGUAGGAAAGAGGGGAGUCCUACACCUACUAGGAGGAGGACUCCUCCUCCUGGCGCGCCUACAGGGGCCAGCCGGCCUCCCCCUUGCUCCUUUAUAUACGGGGGCAGGGGGCACCUCUAGACACACAAGUUGAUCUGUUGAUCUCUCCCAACCGUGUGCGGUGCCCCCCUCCACCAUAAUUCACCUCGAUCAUAUCGUAGCGGUGCUUAGGCGAAGCCCUGCAUUAGUAGCAUCAUCAUCACCGUCAUCACGCCGUCGUGCUGACGAAACUCUCCCGUGAAGCUCUGCUGGAUCGGAGUUCGUGGGACGUCAUCGACCUGAACGUGUGCUGAACUCGGAGGUGCUGUGCGUUCGGUACUUGGAUCGGUCGGAUCAUGAAGACGUACGACUACAUCAACCGCGUUGUGCUAACGCUUCCGCUUUCGGUCUACAAGGGUACAUAGACACACUCUCCCCUCUCGUUGCUAUGCAUCACCAUGAUCCUGUGUGCGCGUAGGAUUUUUUGGAAAUUACUACGUUGCCCAACACUCGCCGGUGUCAGCGGUGGCGCAUCGGAGUGCUUUGGAGGAGCGCCGAUGGUAGCUGCUCUCGAGGGGAUCUAGAUUCAGAUUGUUUCUAAUGUGCAAUAAAAAUGUUCAAUGGACAUGAAAUAAAAGUAGACAUAAAAACCAUAUAUUCAAAAAAUGCUAAUUGUGUCUUUACAAAAUGUUAAACAUAAAAAUGUUCUUCAUCUAUAUGAAAACGUACACUAUGUGUGAAAAAAAUUAUUGCCAAUAAAAAUGUUUGCUAGUUAUUUGAAUUUUUUUACAUGUAUUCAAAAAAGUAAAACUUAUAUUUUCAAAAACUUACAUCUUGUACUGAAAAAUGUUCAAUGUGUAUCAACAAAAUGAUUUGCGAAAUUUACAUUGUGUACUAGAAAAAGUAGACAUGUGUUGAGCAAAGAAAAAACUAAUUAAAAACCAAGGAAGAAACAACGAAAAACAAGGAAAACUAAUGAAAACCGGAAAAUAAGCAAAUAAAACAAAAAAACAGAAGAAAACCACUUAAAAAGAAUGGAAACAUCAAAACCCAAGAAAGAACCAAAGAAAAAAGAAGAAGAAGAAGAAAAUGGAAAAAAUAAAAUAAAAAGGAAGCCCAUGAAAACCGAGAAAAGAAAGAGAGAAAAUUGGAAGAAAUUAUAGAGAAGAAAGAAAGAAAACAGUUAACCCCAAAAAAAGAACAUAGAAAGCGGUGAAAAAGUAAAGAAAACAAAAAAAUACAACCGUAGAAUAACCUUACCAAAAACCAGUACAAUGAUCGUCCCAAGCAAGCGAGGAAAUGAAACGAGCAAACCGCUAAAUGGGUCGGCCCACAUGUUGGGGAAAACACAGUAUUUCAAAAAUUUACCUAUGAUCACGCAAAAUCUAUCUAGGAGAUGCAUAGCAACGAGACGGGAUAGUGUGUCUACGUACCCUCGUAGACCGAAAAAGGAAGCGUAUAGUAACGCGGUUGAUGUAGUCGAACGCCUUCGCGAUCCAACCGAUCCAAGCACCGAACGUACGGCACCUCCGCUUCAGCACACGUCCAACUCGAUGAUGUCCCUCGAGCUCUUGAUCCAGGUGAGGCCGAGGGAGAGUUCCGUCAGCACGCGUGGUGACGGUGAUGAUGAAGUUACCGGCGCAGGGCUUCGUCUAAGCACUACGAUGAUAUGACCAAGGUGUGUAACUGUGGAGGGGGGGCACCACACACGGCUAAAAGAUCAACUUGUGUGUUCUAGGGUACCCCUCUUGCCUCCGUAUAUAAAGGAGGGAGGGGAGGCCGACCGGCCCUAGGGGCGCGCCCAAGGAGAGGGAGUCCUACUAGUCCUAGUAGGAUUCCUCCACAAGGAAGAGAGGGGGAAGGAAGGAGAGGGAGAGGGAGUGGGAAGGGGGCGCCGCCCCCUUCCCUUGUCCAAUUCGGACUGCAAGGGGGGGGGGCUGCCCUGGCGACCCUCCUCUCUCUCCAGUAAGGCUCAUGGUGGCCCAUUAGUUCCCCCGGGGGUUCCAGUAACCCCUCCGACACUCUAUUUUUACCCAAAACUAUCCGGAACACUUUUGGUGUCUGAAUAACAUGGUCAAAAAUAUCAAUAUUUAUGUCUCGACCAUUUUGAGACUUCUUGUCAUGUCCGUGAUCUCAUCCAGGACUCCGAACAAACUUCGGUACAUCAAAUCAGAUAACUCAUAAUACAAAUCAUCAUCGAACAUUAAGCGUGCGGACCCUACAGGUUCAAGAACUAUGUAGUCAUGACCGAGACACAUCUCCGGUCAAUAACCAAUAGCGGGACCUGGAUGCUCAUAUUGGCUCCUACAUAUUGUACAAAGAUCUUUAUCGGUCAAACUGCAUAACAACAUACGUUGUUCCCUUUGUCAUCGGUAUGUUACUUGCCUGAGAUUCGAUCGUCGGUAUCAUCAUACCUAGUUCAAUAUCGUUACCAGCAAGUCUCUUUACUCGUCCCGUAAUGCAUCAUCUCGUAACUAACUCAUUAGUCACAUUGCUUGCAAGGCUCAUAGUGAUGUGCAUUACCGAGAGGGCCCGGAGAUACCUCUCUGAUACACGGAGUGACAAAUCCUAAUCUCGAUCUAUGCCAAUUCAAAAAAACCAUCGGAGACACUUGUAGAGCAUCUUUAUAGUCACCCGGUUACGUUGUGACGUUUGAUAGCACACAAGGUGUUCCUCCGGUAUUCGGGAGUUGCAUAAUCUCAUAGUCUGAGGAACAUGUAUAAGUCAUGAAGAAAGCAAUAGUAGAAAAACUAAACGAUAAUUAUGCUAAGCUAAUGGAUGAGUCUUGUCCACCACAUCAUUCUCUAAUGAUGUGAUCCCGUUCAUCAAAUGACAACACAUAUCUAUGGCUAGGAAACAAAACCAUCUUUGAUUAACGAGCUAGUCAAGUAGAGGCAUACUAGGGACACUCUGUUUGUCUAUGUAUCCACACAUGUACUAAGUUUCCGGUUAAUACAAUUCUAGCAUGAAUAAUAAACAUUUAUCAUGAUAUAAGAAAAUAUAAAUAACAACUUUAUUAUUGCCUCUAGGGCAUAUUUCCUUCACUUCAGAGAGUCGUCGCCGCCUCGCCACUCUGAGGAGGACACAAACCCUAACAAAAAAAAGCAUGAAAAAAAUGAAGCCUUCCCAUCGGCAAGGGCUAGCAUCCAUCGCGCCUCCACGGCCCUAAGACCAUAGGAGACGAAAUAGCCGACGACAGCACCAGCGGGAGGCGGGAGAAACCCUAGUCGGAGCGUCCUCUUUCUUUCAUUCGUCCUCUCUUACUUCGAUGGAUCUUUUUGUCUCACAAAUGAUAAAUCACCGCCAUGAUAAGGAAACCAUCAUGCAGAAUUUGAUUUGAUGUUAUAAUGAGAAUUAAAGCUAAUAUUUAUCUUGUCAGAGGGCAAUAUAAAAAUUGGACAUACUUUGUAAAGGAAAAAAAUACAUGCUUAAUAGAUAAAAAAUAUUAAAAGUACAUGCUUUGAAAAGAAAAGGCAUGUUUAGAGCACAUAUAGAUGUGCCUUAGUGUUGUACAUUUAAAAUGACUCAAUCAAACAUAAAGAAGUAGAAAAAAUACCUGCACGAAUCUUCACCUAAAAUCAAUGACGUAGGACUUAUAUGUGCAAUACUUAGAACACUUCUAGAUUCCUUUUGCAAAACCAUAAAAUAAUUCACAUUAAAAAGUUAGUGCACAGAUUGAUUCUUGCUCCCCCACAAAUGUUCUUGGGUAACAGGCCCCCGAGCCACAAGGCCUAGCAAGAUAUGUGACUAACUUUUGCUCCCCCACAAAUGAGCUUGGGUGACAGGCUAACGCGACAAAGCCCAGCGAUAGAGUUGUAAGAGCUGUCCUUUUAUUCCCGUGUAUGCGAACUUAAUAAGGCGAGGUGGGACUAAGUUGUGUCUGCUAAACAAAAAACAGCUCCCACAGAGAUGGCCGCCGGAGAUGCCACCCACGCGCCGCCGGCCGCGGAGGCGCAGUCUCUGGUGGAGUCAUUCUGCGCCGUCACCUCGGCGACCCCCGACGAGGCGACCUUCUUCCUGGAGGGCCACAACUGGGCCCUCGAGGCCGUCGUUCGCUCCUUCUACGACAACACGGAAGUAUGGGCCCGAUCCAGCACCCCAGCCCCCGCCAGCCGGUUCGCCUCCGUGCUCCUCACCACGCGCUACGGCACCAUCGACGACCUCCUCCAAACCGGCGAGCUCGCGGUAAGCCUCGAUUGCCUGAUUUCUCCACUCUCUUAGGCUCAAUUCUGAAUGUGAUGUGUGUGUUCAGUUAUCUCGGCUUAAUUUAGACCGGACCAGUAAAUUUUAUGUUAAAAAAAUUAAGCAAGUUGAAACUGCAUAGAAUCAAUCAACUGAUCAGCUUUCAUAGUUACACUUUCUGGGUCAAAUCGUGUAAGUGCUGAAUUUUACUGAAUUGUGUUGCCUUCAUAGUUACACUUUCUGGACUUUCUCUGAAAAGAAAAGAAAAAGAAAAAAGCACUUGCUCGGUUGUUUCUGGACAGGCUCCAAUAGUCUGGUUGACGUCUAUAAUUAAGUGGUAGUAGUAUCAUGUGAGGAACAACAAAGCUAGCAAGGUGUGACGUGAGUCACUCUGCUGGCGAUCUGGCCUGAAAAUGGGACUUCAUUCUUUUCUGAAUGCUAAUUGGGGCGCCAUCUUUGUAAAGGUACGAGUAGGGCCAUGAAUCAGUGAUAGUGCCUUAUUGAAAUCACAAAGUGAAGGGAGUUGGAACAGUGUAUAUAAGGUGUAGAGCUCCUGUAGUUUCCAGAUCUUGUCAUAAUCGCAAACAGCGACCUCUAUACUGUAUUAACAGAUAUAAUAUGGUUAGAAGUUCCAGUUUCAGCGGCACAUCAGCUAUUUUGGAAGCACCACUGUAUUUAGGCCAACAUAAGCUGAUAUUCAGAAGAAUCACACUUCAUCUGAGAUUAUAUAGAAAUCCAAUAACUGGGCUGGCUGACACCUAUAAUUAAGUGAUCUCGAGUAGUAUCAUGUGAGAAACAGCAAAAGCUAGCAAAGGUGGGACGAGAUUCACUCUGCUGGCCAUCGAUCUGUCGCUGGGCCUGAAAAUGGCGCUUCAUUCAUUUCUGAAUGCUAAUUGGCGCUCCAUCUUACAAAGGUGCAAGUAGGAUCACGAAUUGGUGAUAGUGCCUUAUUGGCAUCACAAACCGAAGGGGGUUGGAACAGUGCAUGCAAGGUGCAGAGCUCCUGUAGUUUUACAGAUCGGCCGACAGUGCCUUACCAAAUCUAAUACUAAAUGAUUAGAAGUUACAGUUUUGGUGCUACUUCAGCUAUUUUUGCAGCACCCUGUAUUUAGUCUAAUAUCCUCCUAAAUGAUUAGAAGCUGCUAUCUAGAAGAAUCACACUAUCUGAGAACAAAAUAUAUCCGGUAAACUUGCCGCAUUUUGAAUUUUUGAGCUAAAAAAGGGCCAAAGAAUUUCAGUCCGGUCCUCACUUUCUGUCGGUGCACACUCUCGCAAUAUUUCCAGGCACUGGUCCUAAUGUUUCUUCAUGUUGAAUUCUGCAGCUAUGUUCAGUUGUGCUCAUGUACGGGCUCAUCAUAAUCCUGAGCAGUGCCGCCAAGAUCACUCACCAAGCGCAGGCCUUGACGGGCCAGACCACCAAGUGGCACGCCUGCUGCACCAUCGAGCCGGUCCCGGACGACGAGAUUGAUCCAGGAUCCAACCAGAACUCCAUGCUGGAAGAGUACCCAGAGGACGAGAGCGACUGCGAGUCCAGCGAGGAGACCGGAGGAGGACAUGCUAGAGAACACCAAGUUCCUCCAGCCUCACACGCACGUGAUCUCCUUCCAGAAGAGGCAGACACUAGGUACGUGUAAAUCAAUGUAACAUCCCAAAUUUUCAAUUUAAAAUGUUAAACACUAGAUCAUCAUUGCAUAUCAUAUUUAUUGCAUUUUGGUUGAUCCUAGAAAUUUCACGCAACUCAAGGACCCUCGGAGAGAGUUGGGGAUUUUGUUAUUUUCAUAACUGAAUUGUCUCAAAUUUUGAAAAUAGGAUCUGUUGAUUUUAUUUAUUUUAUUUUCAAUUAUUUCUAUUACAAAAAUAUGAGAGGGGGAAUAAAAUGACUUUCCUAAAAUAAAGAAAUAUUGAGGACUUAAUAAAAAAAUCAAAUAAGAUUUUAUUUGGUUUAUUUGCUAUUUUAUUUGAAUUUAGAAAAAAUGCGCGUUUUUCCUGUGCGGCUUGAUUUUAGAAGCCGGGUAAAAUUUAUUUCGGGAUUUUUGGAGUCCAUUUAGUAUUCCUUUUUUUAAACGUAAUUAUUUAAAAAAAACGCAACCGACCUACGGGCCGUCUCCGACCUGAACACGAGGCCCGUCCGGCUUUAUAAGCCCGGGAGGCCCAGCCGGAACCCCACCCCAAAUCCUAGCCGCCCCAAGCCCGCNNNNNNNNNNNNNNNNNNNNNNNNNNNNNNNNNNNNNNNNNNNNNNNNNNNNNNNNNNNNNNNNNNNNNNNNNNNNNNNNNNNNNNNNNNNNNNNNNNNNNNNNNNNNNNNNNNNNNNNNNNNNNNNNNNNNNNNNNNNNNNNNNNNNNNNNNNNNNNNNNNNNNNNNNNNNNNNNNNNNNNNNNNNNNNNNNNNNNNNNNNNNNNNNNNNNNNNNNNNNNNNNNNNNNNNNNNNNNNNNNNNNNNNNNNNAGCCACGCAGCCGCCGCCGUUCGCCGGAGCCGCCGAGGUAGUCGCCGUUGCCUCAGUUUUCGCGAAGAAAACCGAUCGGUUUUUUUUUAAAAAAACUUAGAUCUGUUUUUUCCGUUAGAUCUGUUUUUUCGUUAGAUCGCGAAGAAAACUUAGAUCUGUUUUUUUUGUUAGAUCGGUUUUUCCGGUUUAUUUAAAUAGCGAGUGUUCGUCCGUUCGUUCGUUUUAACGAACGUUCGUCGUUUUUCUUUUUCUUGGAUUAAAUCCGUGAUUUUUCUGAUCGUGAUUUCUGAUCCGAUUUUCGUUUUAGUUUAACUUUUCGCUCGUUUAUCGAAAUCAGGCGAUUCAAGCGCUUGGAGUUUCGUUUCGAAACCCUCUUUCCGAUUAACCAACUCAAACAAGUGUUUGCCACUGUAAAAAUUGCCCUAGAUCCAGAAUAGUAAACGAAGCCUGUUUCUUUUGCCCUUUGUCUUUCGUUGCUUUGUUCGAUUUGAUUUUUUUUGCCAACCUGAGUUCUUAAGUUGAACCUUCUAGUUAGAUCUCUUAUUUGUGUUUUACCUGUGCAUUAGUUGAGUACUUAUUGUAUGUUUGUUUUUUUGUGAUAGAGUACCCGGAGUGCGCCGCUUGUUACUUCGAAUCGCUAGGUUUCCCGAAUCAUCGGCAAGGCAAGUAACACUUUGAUCAUACCUCCUACUACCCAGUUUUAUUGCAUUAGAUCAAUCCUCACACUUUGCAUGAUUAGGAUCUAAUUAAAUUGUGGGUUUGGAAAGUAGUUGAGGUAGUACCUAUUACCUGUUUAUUAUCAAACCUUUGGGAGCUACUUCUACGUUUGCUUAUCAUGUCAUGCUAUGCUAGUAGACGUGGAUUGGGUGAGUGUAUCCAUGACAGAUGUGAGAUUGUUAAUUAAUGGCUUAUCGAAGGUGGCAACUUAAACACACAUCUGGCUGGAUUGAGGUACUUGUGUAUUCCAGGAUUGCCUAUUUUCUUUUGGACCGCCACCCGGACUCAAAGGGAUCAUGAGAUUAUUCAGGAUAGAAACUUCCGUGUGCAGCCACAAGCUAUUAUGGGCUCUAGCAUAGUUGAUUAAGUUGUGUGAACUCUUACAGUGGUAAACUAGUAGAUGUAGGGGAAAGUAGGUGUAAUGGUCUACCCGAUCGUAAGGUGUUAGCGCUUCUGAAAGACUAUGUCUCAGUCAUCCGUCUUCUCAAACACCAUGUAGUGCGAGAAACCAAACGAAGGCGAUCGAGUCUUGUGGGGAAGAGUGCGCAAACCUCUGCAGAGUAUAUAAACUAAUUAUGAUUAGCCGUAUCCCCGGUUAUGGACAUCUUGAGUAUCUAGUACCUGGAUUAUCAUGUGAAUCUCAACAUGUUACUCUAAAAAUUUAAUUUUGUUGGGUUUUGUUUAAUGAUGAUGCUUAAUUGGGAUUGAGAAUGGUGUCAACUAUUCUCAAUGUUUAACAACCACCAUGAUAGUUAAAUAAAUUUAUUCCUUUGCAGUAGGGAAAAUUUGGCUUUACGCAAAACUGUAACCAUAGAGCUUUCCACCAGCCAAAUAUGCAUAUAGAAUAGUUGUUUCUUUCCAUUACUCUCUAUGUGUUACAUUGCCAGCAUAUUCCAUGUGCUGACCCGUUUCGGGCUGCAACGUUAAUGUUGCAGAUUUUUCAGACGACGAUUAAGGAAUUUUUAGGUCGUGGUUCUAUACUCAGUGAUGCCGUUGAAGUUGAUGGACUCACUUAUCUUCCAAGCCUUCCGCUGUUAUCGUUAUUAGAUGGCCUUAAGCCAUAUUUAUUGUAAUAAGUUCUCUUUUGAGACACUCGAUGUAAUAGUGUGUGAUUGCUACUCUGCUAUAAAUCAUUCAAGUACUGUGUGGUGUCAGCAUUACUGAUCUAGGGAUGACACCGGAGCACAGAGAUUGGACCGUUUGAGGUCUAGUUGCUACAAUCAACGAAAAUCAUCGUAAAUUUUGUCGAAUUUCCAUGAGAUGUUCCUGGGGCUGAUGAAAAACGAUCUUGCAGUGACGUACCUGGAGAACAACAAGGCAGGCAUCAUCAUGUUCGGGUUCACGCUGGACCGGUCGUACCUCCACACGAUAUUCAUGCUCGAGUGGACGCUCUUCCUGUGGCUGCUGGGGAAAACGGUCGGUUUCUCGUUAACACCAAGGAAUGUACGCACCAAGGUUCCAUGUUUUUUUGCUGUUGUGCCCCGUUUGAUCCUUGUGAAAAGAGAAGGAAUUGGGUUUUUUGUGUGUGCGCGGGUGUGCACGUGAGUGGUGUGCACUUGUAUGAUAGCAGCGAUUUUGUGUGAUGGUCGUGUAAAUUAUUAUGGGUUGAUUGCUCGUGGAUGUAAGGUGCAUGUACAGGUUUAGAUGAGUGCUUUAGAGCCUCAUGUGUGUGUGCGUGCGUGCGUGACGCUUGGCAUUGCAGGUUUAUAAUCUCGGGUUGUAAAAAAAAAAACUAUUUCGUUUAUCUUGGUUCUGCCGGCUAUUCUCCUGAAGAAAAUGUUUUCUGCUCCGUAUUUCGGUAUGAAUUCUAAUGGACAUAAGAUGGUAUUUCAUAUUCAGUACAUGUAUAAUAGUCGAAGCAUUUCAAUGCAAGUGAGGGUGUACAUCUAAUAAUAGUUUCUUUUUUGUGCGUUGGUGUUUCCUGUGUACAUCCUAACUAUAUAAAGGUUAGAUUUGUGCUCGUGCUUAUUGUGUUUGUAUCCACUUGAUGCUUCAUUUUUAAGUCAAUAAAAUUCAUCUUUCUAUUAAAAAAAAAAUCAAAACUCACUCAAAGUGAUGCUCUGGGUUGGCCCACUUUCCAAUAUCUGCAUAUGGUUCUUUCUAUAUAAUGUGUCCUCGUGGCGAUUGAUGGGCUCCUAUGCGGCGCUUUAGGUGCCGAAAAGGAUAGCUGAUGCUCGUUAUAGCUUUGCUCACAGGCCGCAGCUGAAUAAGACCACCUCCCUCUCGCGCUUGCUUGCUUUUGUCAAGUUUGCUGGUUUUUCUUUCAUUAUUACCUACAGUAUGACCUCCCCCCUAAAAGAAACUUACGGUAUUAUCUAGUGUACUACUUCCUCUGUCCCAAUUGCGACAAGUAAGUCGGGAUGGAGGCAGUAC
rnacentral:lncRNA from 1 species